rnacentral:lncRNA from 1 species
CACCACUGACCACAAAAUUAGACAAUGAUUGGAGAUUCACCAUUCUACCCAGUUGUGGAGGCAUUCCUCCCAACGAAUAUGCAUCCAAGUUGUUUAGAUGGCGCAAAUUAAUUAGAUUACUCAUCUUCGCAGGCAAUGACUUCAAUUUAGAACAACCUUCCAAUAUCAAUGUUUGCAAGCUGUAAAGAGUGCUUGUUGAUUCAGGCAAACUGGUUAUAUCUGUGUAGGAAAGGUCAAGAUACUGUAACAACCUCAAAUCACCAAUUGAGUUUGGCAGCUCAGUUAUUUUGUAGCCAUUCAAAGAGAGCACUCGUAAGUAUUGCAACUGUGGUAGUAACUCAAAAAUAACCUUAUGAGACAAAUAUUUACUCCACCACCUGGAAUCUGAAAGCGAUAGUGGCAGGAAUGUUCGCAAACGUUCAACUUUAGGAAAGUCCUCAAAUCUCGUAACUCCAUCAAAUUGACCAGCAAUGAAAGACGAAUGGCGAGCCCUUCGAAAGCAGGUGCGUUGCAAGUUAUCACCUUGCUUAUCUUCCAACCUAGAACAUAUUUCUCCUGCUGCCCAUUGUGCUAAAUCAUUAACGAGGUCAUGCAUUACAAAUUGUGAAUUGUUUUUGCUUGAUUCUUGAAACAACGACCUUGAUAAUAGCUCUCGAAAGUAGUCACGGCCCAAAUCCUCCAUUUGUUUAUUGUCUUCAGGUUUUUGUUGAAUCAAACCCUCUGCCAUCCACAAAAGGACGAGUUGCUUCUCCCUAAAUUCAUAGUCGUUUGGAAGUAUUGAGCAAUAGGCAAAACACCUCUUCAAAUUUGAUGGAAGAUAGUGAUAGCUCAACUUUAGUACGGGGAGAAUGUCACUCUUAUCUGCUAUAUUCCACAAUUUGUUGUUCAAUAUUUCUUCCCACUCAUCUUUUUCUUUGCAACGUAAAAGGCCACCGAGAGUCCUUGCAGCAAAUGGUAAUCCACGACAUUUUUCGACAAUUUUUCUUCGAAUUAACUCAUAAUUUACUGGUUUUCCAUCAUUAAGUUCCCCAAAUGCAUGUCGCUCAAAUAUUUCCAAACAAUCAUCAUCUCUCAUGCACUUCAAAUUAUGGACUCCAGCGGCUCCCAUAAACUUUGCAACAUUCACAUCGCGGGUUGUCACAAGUAUCUUACUUCCUCCAGCUCCGACGCCAAAAGGGGAUUGAAGUCUUGUCCAGAGAUCGUAUAGAUCAUAGUCACCUUUGUUCCAAAUAUCAUCUAAAACGAUUAAAAACUUUUUUCCUCUUAACUGCUCACUCAAAUCAUGCUGCAUUUUACUAAACUCCUCCACUUGAACGGGUCGGGAUGUGAUUGAUUCAAGAAUUGCCUUUGUCACUCGCACAACAUCGAAGUCAUCAGACACAGAUACCCACACCUUUGGCUCAAACUCCUUCAUGGCAUCAUCUUUGUGGUUGAAUACAAGUUGAGCAAGUGUCGUCUUCCCGACUCCGGGCAUCCCAACUAUAGCAACUACACCAAAAUUGACAGUACCUGCAUGCUUGUAUUUUCUUGACAACAAUUCGAUAAUCUCCCCUUUGUCAUCAUCUCUUCCAACAACAAGCUUUUCAUCUAACACGCCUGCACUUUGUAAACUUCGUGAUUCCUUAGCAGACGUCCCAGUAUCUUUCAAGCCAAACUUUUCUUUCCGUUCAGAUAUGUCUUGCAACCGCUCCAUAAUCUUCUUCAUUUCGGAGUUCAUAUCAAACCUCAAUUUAACUUUAUAAAAUGAUCUCCGUAUCUUGUUGCUUGUGUUGGCUUGUUCACGUCUCUCUAUCAUGCGCUUCAACAUUUGUGUGGCAAAUUUGUCCAACAUGUCUUCGAUAUCAUAAGCCAAAUCUCUGAGAUCAUCGAGCCACAGUUUUACAGCACCCUCAGUCAGUUGCCUUUCCUCGGCAUCACUCACCACCACUCCGAUUGUAGAUAACGUGGUCCUCCACUUCUCCAGCUUCCUUCUGACGCCCCGGAAGUUUCCAAAGUAGUUGAGAAUCUCGUGAGGGGUCAACCUGUCGAGCAGCAACUGUAGAAACGCCGCAAGAAAAAUCUCUCCCAGUGCCAUAUUACGCGUGAACAGACCUCCAAGCAAUCAAAGAAACAGCGAACCGUUCUUGAGCAAUAUUGAGGUGCAGAACUCAACGAAUGGAAGAGUAACAGUCAAAGCCUAGUUCCUUGCAAAUUUGGAAGCUUGAUCUCUUGAGACUCAGAAAUAUUCACAACUGCACAAAUUAAAAUGAUAAGAACUAAUUGUUGAUGCCUGCGCAAUCAUAAAAUUUAUAGUAAAUGUGAAAUAAUCAAUGGACUCCUAGUAAGCAUAUCUAGAGGUGCCAAUUUGAGACUUGGGAUGGCAACAGGGCGGAUUCAGAUCAAGGUUGCCUACAUCAUAAGUUUGAUAACCGUCCCGCCACUAUGUAUACAGUCCCUGUUACGUUUUAUGAAAAUAUUCUUUUCCUUAUUAUAUACAAAAUAAUCUAACAACUUGAUAUUGUAUGUCUAAAGCACAAUAAAACACACCAUAUAAUGGCGCUUUACAGCAAUGUUGGAAAACAAUCAUACUUAUGGAUUCGAUCUCCACCGAUCCCCUCCCCCUAACAACUAAUAAUUUUACCGACAACACUAUCAUUUGUCAAAAAAAAAAACGUCAUAUGAUAUUACUCAGUAACAAAGUACAAAAAAAAACACCAUAUAAAUUUGAAAGACCGGGAAAAAGAAAAACUCAAUAUUGCAAAAAUCAUAUAAUAGUAUAUAUUAUUUUCAUAAAUUUUACCAUGUUGAACGGAAAAAUGGGUCAGUUUUGGGAUUACCCGUAACUGUAGGGAUCCUUGCAAUCCUGCGUUUCAAGACUCGAAACUUGCACGAAUAUUGGACAUGAUCUGUAGCAAGGAAGUCUGUCAGGUCAUGACGGCACUUGUUUGCAUGGAUCAGUUUGCACUUACGAUCAACAAAUUCAGGGUGAAUGAUGGAAUAAUUAAGGCAGGCUGAAAAUUGCACAAAUUUUAUAGCUGGUUAUUGAUGAAAUAAUUAAGUAUACAAACUUGAAGAAAAAUGAAAUAAUUAAUCUAUAAAUAAUGGAUUUGGCAUAUAUAGUUGCAAGAGGAACUUACUGCAUUCAAGUUUUCAGAUGAUGAUGAAGAUGAAGAUGAAAGGACUUGUUUCCAUAGAUCAUAUGUGAAAAUCAACAGAUCUAGACGACUUUAGAGCUCUUCAAUUUGCUACGAUAAUUAGGCGUUGACUUGAAAGACUAACAAGUAUUCCUCUUUCUGCCUAAAACAGUCUUAGAUUCCUCUUUUUUCUCUUAUCUUUAAUUUUCGUGGGGUCAUAUUGUUUUGUCGUUUUUAAUUGCUUUCUUAUCUCCCGAGUCCUGUUUUAUUUUUAGAAAAAGAUUCCCUCCGGAUUUUUUUUUGUAGAGAUACGGAUAAUUAAUCAAUAAUGUCUGUUUAUUGUAAAUUAUUUAUAUGCAAUUUAAAUAUAAAUUUAAAUAUUUUUGUGAUCAUAUGAUAUAUGAUGAACAAAUAUGAUUAAUUGAUCUUCUGGAUCUCUACAAAGAGAAUCCUUUUCCAUAUUUUUUUGGGAACUUUAACAAAAAGUUUCCGGUACUGUUUACUUCAACAAAAAAUCAUAUUUUUACACUAAAAAGUCAAUUAUAGUACUAUUCACUUUACCUUUUAUUUUGUCCUUAUUGUUAAAACUCAAAAUUUUCAAUCCGUUUUUAUUAAUUUUUUUCUAUUUUUUAUCAUUUCCUUCCUUUGUAUGAGAGAUUUCGGGAGAUGUGUACCAAACAUGGAACUUUGGAUGGAAGGGUGACUAUUUGUAAAUGUUGAAUUAGUGGCCAAGUUGUAAAAAACAUAUAAUAAAAAAUGAAAGAAUAAUGAUGUGGGAACAUCAUUAUGAGGAGACAAAUGAUUAUGUUUGUUAAAAAGAAAAAAAGAUGGUCAUGAUGAUGGUUGUAAAGGAAUGAUUAUUCCUUUACUUUGGAUUUUUUAUUAUGUGCUUUUGUAUGGAUGAAGUUAUCAUCCGAAUGUGAGAGAGAGGAUGGGUGCACCAUUUUCUGUUUUAGUAGCCUAUCUUUGAAAGAGCAAAGGCAGCUGCAGAAAACAGAAAAAUGAGAGCGGAAAAAGAAGAAGAAGGUGCUCUUCUCUUUGGUUAGUAAUCACCCACCAAAGUAGUUGUUGUUGUAAUAGUUUUGAGCUUUGUAUAGAGAGGAAAUUAUUCAUUAUAUUUCUUUCUAUUUGUAUCUUUGGUGUGUGUGAGUUAUUGGUUGUAUUGGGGUUUGGGUUGUGAGCUUGCCAACACUUUGUAAACUUCCAUUUGGUUGAUAGUGGAUUAUUAGGUGAGCUCCUACUGCUCCGAGGACGUACUCCAGUUACACUGACUGUUGAGGAACCUCGUUAAAAUCUUGGUGUCUUUUAUAUUUUGUUCUUGCAUUCCAUUUGAUAUAUUUCCUGUGGAUUAGCUUGAGUUGGUUCCAACGGGUUUGGUGCUAUCCUAGCACAACAGUAAACAACUAAGCUAUAUUCUCUUGGAACACUGAUUAUAUUAAUUUUGUGGGAUGUGUUAGAGAAAUCAUAUUUUAAACUACAUUUGUAAAUUAAACGAUGUAUCGCCAAUAAAAAAAAACAUGUUAGUCAAUAUCUAAGUAAUAAUCCAAUCAUCAACAUUCACAUAAUUUGGUUUACAAAAUUUGAUUUAAAAAUUUGGCUUUCCUAACAUUAUCCUAUUUUGUGAGGGUGUUUGGUUCAAAUUUUUGUAGGCCAUUGUACACAAUGUAGGGACAAUCAAUUUAAACCGGUAAAAGACUGAAACAACCCAAGGGCUCUAUACACCAGAUUUACCAAAGUUGUCGUGGAUUAUGCUUUUACCAUCUUGUAGUUAUACUACUUAAUUAGUCAUAGAGCUAUAUUAUAUUAGAUCAAUUGAAUUAAUAAUUUUCAUGAUCAUAGGGUAUUUGUAUGAUGACCCAUGUGGCAAAAAAAAUUAGAAAUUAAACUCCUGUUACGAAGACCGUCAACAAAUUUAACUCAAAAAUAGAACUUAUGUUAAAGGUCUGUUAAAAUAGGGGUGAGACUUUAGCACCAAAAGGUAAAUAAAAAACUAACAAAACCCUGAAAGAUUAAACCCAAAUUAGGCAAAGCAAGCACAAAGGGUGAACCAACAGGCCAGUAAAAAACUACAAGUACAGUGGAGUCGAUACAAACUAGGAAAAACUAGUCAUCCUAGAAACAGACAUCCAUCUCCGAUCACCUUAAUGGUGUCCAAAAGAUAAAUCGGCUGAUAAAUUAGCUGAAACUAUCAGGCAUCAAUGGUGAGCCUGCAGAGGACAAGGGAGGCUGAUGAUGUUCCGGAUCCCAAUAUGGCAGCAAUGAUACUUUGGGAAUGACGAUGUUUAAUUAGAUUUUUGUUCAAAUUUAGUAAAAAUGACUCGUGUUAGAUAUGGGCGUACACUAUAGUUAUGGUGGUCAACAAAAAUACUCCCUUUGAUUUUAGGUGUAAUUAGCUUUUAAUUUUGAGUGUAGUUAGGUCUACUUAAGUGAAUUCUUGGCUCUAUUUGAAUUGUUUUAUAAAAACUAAUAUUUAUACAUUUGUGUGCUAAAUUCUGACUAUAAUAAAAUCUCUCCACCCACUACCACUAGAGAGCGGGAGGGGUGCCGCCUACCCACCAAACCCAAAAGUAGGGGGCAGUGUCCUUUGAGAUUUCUAGAGGAACAUUAGGCAGGUAUGCUUUGCACCACAAAAAUGUGCAAACCAAUUUGAUUUUGGGUUCCUAGUAAUAUCCUUUCUUUUCUUAAUUUUAAACAAGAAAGAAUUGCCUCCGCUUUCUCUUUGCACGACAUCUAUUCUUUCUUAAUGGACUAAUUUUACAAUGUUAAUGCCAAUAUUUACACGAUAAAACAUACAUGCUAAUGACCAUUAUUGUCACGCCCCGAUCCCAACAUACGUUCAAGAUCGACACGUGACGUCACCAAAUACCCGUAUCUCAACAUACCCCUCUUCCGGGAUAUGGCAAAUCACAACUCGAGAAUCGAAUCGCAUAGUAAUUUUUUUGUAUACUUUAUGGCUAUAUCUAACCUCCUCAUUAGACUGCCUACGUACCCUCAAUAGGGAUCAAGCCAUUCGUAGUUCACCAUUCACAAAAUCAGACAUUUAUCCCACUGAGUUCAAGUAGAAAAGCAUAACAUUCCUCAAUCAUUUAAUAUAACAUGAUAGCAUGAAAUUCUUGGGCUCAAGCUACAUAACAAACCCUCAUGAAAUCAUGAUUUCUCUUCAUCCUACAUAUAAAUCAUUAUGUCUCAUCAUGAUAUCACAAUUCACAACAUACAUCAUAUUUAAGAACCGACGAAACACAAAACCAUUCUCUAGCCACAUUAAUUAAUUAAUUUGAUCAAAGUAAUAACAAUCAUUCCCAUAUUUUCUAAAUUCAUACCUUAUGAAAUCAUAAUCGAAUCGUAGGAAAUCCCGAAGGAGUCACCCCCUUAUGAAAUCAUAAUUGAAUCGUAGAAAAUCCCGAAGAAGUCACCCAGACGUCCAACAUCUUUUCUAACUCAAUUCACAAGAUUCUCAAAACCAUUGACACAAAUAUAUAUAAAACUAAGGCUAGAGUGACACAGUUAGGCCAAGCCUACUUCUCCAAAUAAUGGGAUUUCAGGCCACUCUACGAAAUCCAACAACCUCAGGUUCCGGACCACUCAACGGAACCAAACUAAAUAUGAUCGCCUAUCAAAUGUACCAAGUACAACUAAUCAUCAUCACCUUUAGAAUGCGUAUGACCUCUUAUCGCGGAUAUACCAAGCAGAACCAUAGGUAUAAUCUCAUCAUGCAGACAAUGAUCACUGUUGAUGCACAAAAUCAGUGAGGAUUUUGGUACAACAGAAAAUGUUAAGUUUGUGACUUUCACUAGAUUGCUCCGGUCACUAGUGUGAAUAAGUAUGUAAAUGGAUAGGGACAGGGAAGCAAACACAAGAUGUACGUGGUUCACCCAGAUUGGCUACGUCCACGGAGUAGAGGAGUUCUCAUUAAUUGUGAAGGGUUUAUACAAGUACAUAGGUUCAAGCUCUCCUUUAGUAAGUACUAGUGAAUGAUUUAGUACAAAUAACAUUAGGAAAUAUUGUGAGAGAAUGAUCUCUAUUUAUAGAAAAGGGUUUCUAGUUUCAUUCUGACUUUGACAUGUGUCAUGGUGUGAUUGGCUUCUGAUGUUGACACGUGUCGCGCUAUGAUUGGCUUCUGAUGUCGACACGUGUCGUGCUGUGAUUGGCCUCCUGGUUGGAAGGAAACUCUUCUGGGUCCUUGACGGAAUAACGUUGACCGGUGCUCAGUAGUUUCGGGAUUGGUCAAGUAUGGUACAAACAGUGCUCCCCUAAGUUCCCGAGUAAGGGAAGCUCCUCGGUUAGGGACUUGCAAGAUUCAAGCCAUUGAGUAAUCACGAAACUUCUAAGUACCGAAGUGUGGUAUCAUUUUCACUUGCCUUAUUUGUCUCAUACGUAGAUGUGGCAUCUUCUCUGGAAGUACUUUUCCUCAAUCCAGGAGUGGUAUCUUUAACCGAUGAAGAUGCACAAGGUAAUGUAUCAAUUUCACUUGAAGCUUACUUGUAGUUUCAGGCUUGGUCAAGUGCGAUACAAAGCCCUAUAGUAGGAGUCCCCCAAGUCGCUGAGUUAGGAGAUUUGCUGAAGGAGGUAACAGACAAGGUAAGCAAUCAGACUUCCAAGCAAGCAUCCUGGAUCGGAGGUUCGACUUCAGCUUCUAGUUGAUUGUUCUCCUUAUCCUUGUGUCGUAAACAACAACAAGGAUAAGGAGAAGCAAAUGAAGAAGAGAUGAUAUGAGAUACUUUUUCUUUUGAAGAAGUAACUUUCCACAGGCGUAUUCUUGAACUGGGCUGGAGGGUUUUUUGGUUUCCUCCAGAGUAUAAGGCCGACUCAAGAAUUUGAAGGUCAAAACAAGUCUACCAAAUCUAGAGUACGUUCGACCCUGAUGAUAUGAGAUACUUUUGCUGUUGACAAAGUAAUGGAUGUAUCGGCACGUGUUCUGUUACGCUUGUCUCCACAUGCUUCCUUGUAUCAUUCUCACUUGCCCUAUCUGUUCCUCAGGCAGAUGUGGUAUCUUCUCUAGAAGCAUAAGAUGUUGAAGAUGAGUACUCGAGAGCAAUGCUAGGUAAGUAAUCAGGCAAGGGGUUCCAGGCAGUCAGUUCCUGACUGGAAGCUUGAUUCCAAGUGCUGACUGAUUGCUCUCUUUCUCAUUGUCUUGCAGGUAAGAACAAGGCCAAAGGAAAAGACAGGGAAAAAGCAUGAUAUGGGAUACUCUUGCUUUUAACCCUAAUGAUAUGAGAUACUCUUGCUUUGGUAUAGCUUGUUUGCAGAGGUAUUAUCAGGAUGAAAAGAAGUUGAGUACUUCGAGAGACUCUGCUGAGAGUGCCAUCUUGGAUGUGAAGAAAAGUUAAGCAUUUUUUUUAUUUGCAGGUCUGCCUGGUUGUAGAAGAUGGAGGUCGACAUAUAUAGGAAUCUCCCUAACAACAAGUAGUAGUGCUAUUCCUUUAUCCUUCUUGGUCAUAGCAAUGUAGUGGGAGCUGCAAGCUUCACGUGUUUUAACUUUGUCAGAACACUUUGAAAAAGUGGUCUGUGGUAUCUGGAAAGCUCAUGUUGCGUGUGAAGAUUGCAGGCAAGCUUUAUCCAAGGAAAUCAGGCUCUCGAAGUUCGGAAAGCUAUGCCUCUUCAGUUUUCGAACAAGCAAUCCUAUCGGGAAUCUGGCUCUCGAGAUUCAGAGAACGGUGCCUCUUCGAUUUUUAAGAAAGCAAUCCUGUUGGGGGUCUGACUCUUGAGAUUCGGAGAGUAGUGUCUCUUCAAUUUUUGAGAAAGUAAUCCUGUUAGGAGUCUGGCUUUCGAGAUUCGAAUGGCGGUGCCUCUUCGAUUUUUGAGCACGUAAUCCUGUUGGGAGUCUGGCUCUCGAGAUUCGGAGAGCGGUGCCUCUUAGAUUUUUGAGAAAGCAAUCAUGUUGGGAGUCUGACUCUUUAGAUUCGGAAAGCAGUGUCUUUUCGAUUUUUGAGAAAGUAAUCUUGUUGGGAGUCUGGCUCUCGAGAUUCGGAGGGCAGUGCCUCUUCGAUUUUUGAGCAAGCAAUCUUGUUGGGAGUGUUUUCUCGAAUGUGAGUAAAGUUUGGGCAUUUUUGCCAGUCUGCCUUGCCAUGGAGCACGGAGGUUGACACACAUUGGGACUUUCUAGUUAUCAAGCAGUGAUGCUGUUCCUUUACCCUUGUGGGUAAUAGUAGGGUAGCUGGACCUUCAAAAUUUAUGUGUCUAAACUUUGUCAGAGAUCUUUGGCAAAGUUAUCUUUGGUACCCGAGGAGCUGAUGUUGCGUGUGGAAAGUGGUGCCUCUUCGGAAUCCGGAGAGUGGUGCCUCUUCGAUUUUUGAACCAACGACCCUGUUGCCCUUUCUUUUAUAAGGGCACCAAUUGCGUGCAAGAAGUACAUUCAGAGAGUUAUUGCUUGUAGGGAUUUUCCCCUUACUUCAGAGAUUUAUUGCACCUCAUUUCUCCUUCAUCAUUUUUGAGAAUGUCUGGCCCAUCCGACCGUCGUUUUGACUUGAACUUUGGUGAAGAGGCAGCCAUGCCUUCUCAAGACAACAUAUGGUGCCCAUCAUUCUUAUCCCCUACUGAUCCUCUUACCGUUGAGGACUCUGUGAUGAAGAAUGAUAUGACCGCUGCGGUGGUGGCCAGGAACCUUCUUACUCCCAAAGAUAAUAGACUACUUUCCAAACGGUCUGAUGAGUUGGCUGUUAAGGAUUCUCUGGCUCUCAGUGUUCAGUGUGCAGGUUUUGUGUCUAAUAUGGCCUAACGCCUAUUUGCUUGAACCCGCCAAGUUGAAUCAUUGGCGGCUGAAGUGAUAAGUCUCAAACAUGAGAUCAGAGAGCUCAAGCAUGAGAAUAAACAGUUGCACAGGCUCGCACAUGACUAUGCUACAAACAUGAAGAGGAAGCUCGACCAGCUGCAGGAAUCUGAUGGUCAGAUUUUACUUGAUCAUCAGAGGUUUGUGGGUUUGUUCCAAAGGCAUUUAUUGCCUUCGUCUUCUGGGGCGGUACCGCGUAAUGAAGCUCCAAAUGAUCAACCUUCGGUGCCUCUUCCUUUUGGGGUUCUGCCUAGUACUGAGGCUCCGAAUAAUCACCCUCUGGUGCCUCCUCUUUCUGGGGCUCUACCGACUGCUAAGACUUCUCCUGAGCAACCUUUAUGAAGGCUCUCUCUUGUUUGUUUAUUUUGAUUCAUGUAUAUGUACAUAUUUGUAACUUAUCGGAGAUAUCAAUAAACAAGCUUUGCUUCAUUUCAACGUAUUGUGUUAAAUACACCAAGGCCUUCUUCACUAAGUUCUUUGAAAUUUUCCUUUUGUUGAAACUUGUAUGUAGAAGCUUUGUGAGUGAAGCAUGUAGGUCGAGGUAGUGCUCCCUUAAUUUUCCGAGUGAGGAAAACUUCUCAUUUAGAGACUUGAAAAAUCCAAGUCACUGAGUGGUCAUGAGACUUCCGAGUAUUAAGGUGCAGUAGCAUAUGGUAGGAGUCCCCCAAGUCUCCGGUCGAGGGAGUUGACGAAUGAGGCAUUUCCUUUCUAAGUGGUAGCCCAAAACUCCUUCUUCAUAUAUAUUUGUUAUGAAAGUUGUUAGGCUCAAAGAAGAGGAGGCCUAGGCAAUUUUUUUUUUCGAAUUUUUAAAUUUUCGAAUUUUCGAAAAAAAAAAUAUAUAUAUAUAUUUUUAAAGCUUUUUAGGUGAAGCUUUGGUGUUGAAGCUUUGUAGGUGAAGCUUUGAGGUUGAAGCUUUGUUGGGCACCAUGAAUUGAUUUUGCUUCAAACUAUCUUGAUCAAGAUAGUGUGAAACUUUUGAGAAUUUGUAGUUGUCAUUCAUUGAUGAAGCUUUGUUGAAUUUCCCAUUUUUUUUUUGUUUUGUAUUUUUUUUUGGAUAACUAGAUGUGAACACGGAAAUUUCCUGCGAUGAACGAGACAAGAAACACGUGUACAAAAUAAUAUUUGUAUUGAUGAUUUAGGGGUUACAAUCUCUUCUACCAAUUUAGCCUCUGAUUCUAUCUUUGCAAUGGAUGGAUUUGAUGUUGUUGGUCCAAAGGGCCGUCGGGGCUUGAUCUUGACGAACGGAUGAACGGAUCUUCAAGGAUCGUUGGGCUUGAACUUGACGAACGGAUCUUCAAGGGCCUUUGGGCUUGAUCUUGAAGAAUGGAUGUGUGGAUUUGUUGAUGUUUGUUGAUCCAAAGGGCCGUUGGGGCUUAUCUUAGGAUGAACGGAUGAUGAACGAUGAACACUUUCUUCAAGGGGCCGUCGGGGCUUGAUCUUGAAGGAGGAUUUGACGAAGAACGAAGAGAGCUUUCUUGAUCUUUCAGGAAUUUGCUUGAGAGCUUUAGAGUUUCAAAGCUUCAAGGUUGUGGUGUAAUGUGAAUUGGUUAUGAAUUGGUUUUUUUCAAAAUGAAUGUCUUGGCCUCCUAUUUAUAGAAUUCCAAAACUUGAUUUUUUUGGAUUUAAAUAAUUAGAUGAAAUAAAUCAUUUCUGCCAGGUGUUGACACGUGUCCCGUUUGAUGACUUUUCCGAUUUAUUUUGAUUUUUCGUUUAGUCACAUGUUAUGUGUAAAAUUUAUGUGACACAUAAACAUUGAAAUUUUAAUUAUUGAUCAACAUUUAUUUUACCGAAAUUUCGAUGUCUACAAAUGCCCCCACUUCAAGGCGCGUCGUAUACACGUGCUUGUCACGUGUAGAAGAUGCGUUUUGAAGUCCCUUAUUGUAGAUGUUGAUCCAAGGGCCAUUCGAGGCUUGAUCUUGAAUUGGGCUGAAGAUUUCUUCAAGGGCCGUUGAGGCUUGAUCUUGAAUUGGGCUUGAGAUUCCUUCAAGGGCCGUUGAGGCUUGUUCUUGAACUUUCGUUUGAAAUUUCUUCAAGGGCCGUCGAGGCUUAAUCUUGAAGGUUGAAAUUGGACCACAAGGAGCUUCAUGUGGUAGAUGAUCUUUUGCUUUGGUAGUGGGUGAAUCGGCACGUAUUUUGUUGCGCUUAUUGACUUUCCACAGCUUUGAUCUUGAACUGGUUCAGAGGAUUUUCUGGUUUCCUCCAAUUGUUGACUUUCCACAGACCGUUGCGGUUAUUGACUUUCCACAGACCAUUAGUUCUUAAAUUACCCGUAGGAAGUUCUUUCGCCUAGCAGCAGUGGUGGCAACCUUUUGCCUUUAAAUGGUCCUUCAGAGCAUCACUUUUCAGCCACUCAUCCGUGUUUGGCAGCUUCAGUGUAAAGAGCCAACACCAUAUCAACUGUUUUGAAAUAUUUGCUGAAGAAAUUCGAGAUCCAUCAACAGUUGAAGAUGAGUACUCGGGAGCAACGUUAGGUAAGCAACCAGGCAAAGGUUCCUGGCAAUCAGUUCCUGAUCGGACGUUUAAUUUCAGGUUCCGACUGAUUGCUUCCUUUCUCCUUGUUCUGCAGGCAAGAACAAGGGCAAAGGAAAUGAUAGGGAAAAGCAUGAUAUGAGAUACCUUUGCUUUCAACCCCGAUGAUAUGAGAUACUUUUGCUUUUGAAGAAGUAGCGGAUGAUCAGCACAUGUGUUUGUUGAGCUUGUCUCCACAUGCUUCGAUGCAUCAUUUUCAUUCGCCUCUUCUGUUCUACUGGCAGAUGCGGUAUCUUCUUUAGAAGCAUAAGAUGUUGAGAUAAUGGGUACUUCGAGAGCAGUGCUAGAUGAGCAAUCAGGAAAGAUUCCAAGCAGUCGGUUCCUUACCAGGAGCUUGAAUGGAGGUUCCGACAUAUUGUUUUCUUUAUCCUUGUCAUCGUAAUGAAGAUGGAGGACAAAGAAAAGGAUAGGGUGAAAGCAUGCUAUGAGAUACUCUUGCUUUCAACCCUAGUGAUAUGAGAUACCUUUGCUUUGAUGUGGUUUGGCUGAAGAAGCGUUUCCAGGGGAGGAAGAAAAACUGAGUUUUGGUUGCAGAUGCCUUCGGCAAAGAAGAAGAGUCAAGCUGGAGGUGUGUCUUGCUAGAGAUGAUGGAGGUCGAAUUAUAUGGUGAGCUCCCAACAACAAGUGGCAGGGUGGAUGUACCUUGUCUCCCAUGCUUUGUUGGCCAACCGUCGGGUAGGUGAGUAUGAUGGACUCAACAACAAGUGGCAGGGUGGAUGUGCCUUGUCCCCCAUGCUUUGUCGGCCAACCGUCGGGUAGGUGAGUAUGAUGGACUGCACACGUUUUCAACCUUGUCAGUGAUCUCUGGCAAAGUUGCACGUGAUAGCCGAAAGCUGAAACUGUGUCUGCAAAGUGUUGACGGAUUUUACGCAGGAAAAUCCGGGUUUUGAAAUUCGAGGAGUGCCGUUUCUUUAAUUUAAUUUUUUUUUUGAACAAGUGGUUGUGUUGCCUCUUCUUUUUAAAGAGGUGUCAAUCAUUUUUGACCUGCACGCUUUGAAGAUCGCUCGCCUUUGAAAAUCGUCCUUGCUGUAUUUCUGAGAUUUUUUACUCACUCCAACCCUUUUCUUUUACCAUAUUUUUGAAAAUGGCUAACCCAUCUAACAUUUGUUUAGAUUUGAGUCUUAGCAGUGACGCAAGUGCACCGCGUCAGGGUAAUAUAUGGCGCCCGUCCUUCUCAUCUUCUAAUGGCCCUCUUACAGUUGAAGACUCUGUAAUGAGGGAUGCAGCAACGGCUACGGUUGUAGCUAGAAACCUUAUCACUCCUACAGAUAAUAUGAUACUUUCACAACGGUCCGAUGAAUUAGCUGUUCGAGAGUCCCAGGCUCUCAGUGUCCAGUGUGCGAACUCUGUUUCCAACAUGAGCCAACGCUUACUUGUUCGAACUCGCCAGGUUGAAUCAUUGACAGCCGAGGUGGUAGUUCUUAAUCAAGUGAUCAGACAGCUGAAGUAUGAGAAUAGAGAAUUGCAUGUGCUUGCAAAUAAUUAUUCGACGAGCAUGAAGAGGAAGUUUGAUCAGUUGCUGGACUCCGAAGGUCGGAUUCAAAGUAACAAUCGGAGAUUUGUGGAUGUAUUCCAGAGGGACCUUUUGCCUUCGUCAUCUGAAGUUCGACCAGGUGUUGAGGCUCCAAAUAAUCCAUCCUCGACGCCUCCCUCUUCUAGGGUUCCGCCGAGUAUUAAGGCUUCAAGUACUGAGGCUUCACAUAAGUCGCCGAGUACCAAGGUUUCAAGUACUGAGGCUUCACAUAAGUCGCCGAGUACUAAGGCUUCAAGUACUGAGGCUUCACAUAAGUCGCUGAGUACUAAGGCUUCAAGUACUGAGGCUUCUCAUUAGUGACAUUCGUGAAGGUUUUUUUUUUUUUUUUAUUUUUUUAUUUUUUUUUAUUUUAUUUUUUUACGCAUUUGUAAUUUCUUAGAGAUAUCAAUGGACUUGCUUUAUUUUAUUCAGUAUGUUGUGCUAAAACAUAGAUCUGACUAAUGCGCUUCGUCAUCUUCCCCCUGCUUUCUUCAUUUCAAUUAGUCUUUUCUUGCUUUUUAUUAUUUCCUUUUUCAUAAUUGCUAAUAGUUGCAUACAUGACCUGCCUUUCUUGUUUUUUUCUUUUUUUAUCAUUUCCUUUUGGAUGGUGCCUGUCAAUCAUUUCUUUUCUUUGCUUUCGGUGGCUGGUCACCAUUUGAAAACCUUUUUUUUUUUUUUUUUUUUUUUUUUUUUUUUUUUUUCUUUAUAUAUGGUGCUUUGUAGGGAUGGAACUCAACGGACGGUGAGCUGCAGUCGAGGCUUCAUGACCGGCUAGUCGUUUGACGGCGGUUUAUUGAAGUUCUUCGUCGUUGUUGUUUGUCACGGACGGAGAAAAGGCCUUUGGGUGUGAGUUGACAAACUUUGAUUUUGUCAAUCACAUUCAAAAGCAGCAACCAUGGCGGAGGUGCAGAAGCAGCUGGAGCUUGGGGUAGAAUGCAAGGCAUUGAGCUUCACUACCGGCUAGUCGUUUGACGGCGGUUAUUGAAGUUCCUUGCUUAUCAUCGUGAUCAUAUUGACGAGCUGGAGGGAAUCUCUCAAGACACCCUACUCCCCCAACGAGCUUAAUCAUCAACAACCAACUGAGAAAUGCAUGUUCUACAAGUACUGCACCUGAGAUCUAGGCUAUCAUGCUAACUUUCCUCUGUGCUUGUAAGAAUUUUUUUUUUUUGAAUUGGAAAGUUGAGGGUGCUACCACAAAUCACACCAGCAAGGCAACAAGAUCCAAUAGCUGUAAUUUGGGAUUUCAUAUACCAUUGUUUGGUAACAACAGAGAGGAACCCCUGUUCUGUUGCUUUGAUAUGCUUUCCGUAUCACGUCUACUGACAUGGACUGUUGCUCUGAAGUGACCAUUUUUAGAUGCUGGAAUAGGUGAUCAUUGAUGUAACGUGAUGUCUCAGGACCGCCAUGACCGUCAUAUAUUUCGAAAAAAAAGGUGCCAGACGAGCCAGACUCGAGCGAGCUCAAGGGACCGGACUCAACCUGGUUUUGAUCCUCAAGCAAAUUGUUGGCCUGCACAACAGCCAUUGAAAAUUCACCAUCUAUUUGCUGCCCAUUUGCAGCCAUAGCCGGUGGGAGGCCUCCAAGAACAUCACCAAGUCCACCAGUUUUACUCCAUGGACCAACCUCAGCUCCCAGAAACACUAAAUUCAUCCCACUUCCACAAACAAUGACUCCUGAAGUCUUCCUAGUGCCGUUGACGGUUUUGCCCCCCAAAUGCGUAUCUCCUGAAGUAGAUAGCACUUCAAACACACCAUCACCAACCUCAAGUACUGAAACAUCGAAAAUACCACCUCCAAGGUCAAAUACCAAGAUAGUUUCAUUGUUCUUCCUGUCAAAGCCGUAUGCUAAAGAAGCAGCAGCAGGUUCAUUUAUAAUCCUAAGAACUUCCAAACCAGCAAUACGGCCGGCAUCUUUUGUAGAAGUUCUUUGAGAGUCAUUAAAGUAAGCAGGAACAGUGAUCACUGCUUUACCAACUUUACCAUUCAAAAACUUUGAAGCAUCAUCCACAGGCUUCCUCAACACCUGAGCUGAAAUUUCUUCAGCGGCGAACUGCUUGCCGUCCUUGGCCUCCUUGGCCUUUUCCACUUCUACCAGAUACUUGUACUUUGUCGCCGCCAUUUCUCAAAUCACAAUCGGAUCGCGCGGAGCACCCCUUCUCUAUCUGCAAAUGAUUUCAGAGGCUCUGCCGGUCGCAGGUGGUUUUUUUUUUUUUUUUUUUUUUUACUUGUAGACGAAUACGAGUUCACUGAGUCAGGAAAACGCAGAGAGGAGAGAACCACAAAAGGAAGGCUUUGGGGAUUUUCGCUUUUCUCUGUACCUCAGCACCCUCGCCUCGCGAUCUGCGGAGGAGAGCUGGACCGCCGGAUGUGAUGACUCCACGGCGGAGGUCAUUGACUUGUUGUAAGGAUUUGAAUCGUCUGUCAUCGUGUUGUCAUCUGGCACGAUGCUGACGUCCAUCGAGGAAGAUGAAACACUCUGCCUCAGACACUGAGUGUGGUGGUAGCCGUAGACGAAGGGUUUGGAGGCGAUGUUGGUGUUGCCGGCGGGCUUGCAGUGGUGCACGUGGACGUUGACGCCGCGGCCGUUGAUGGUCUUGAAGCUGUUGACAAUGAACUCGUAUUUGAGCUCAAUGGUCAUGUCCGCCGAGAAGAUGAUCCAGAAGGGUUCUUUUUGGAUGACGGCAUGGCGGAGCGUGCCCGGAGUUGGGUUCGCUGGGUUGGAAUCGGAGGAGUCGGUGACUGGAAUGGAGAAGGGUUUGGUUGGAGGAGAAAACCCGAAGUGGGUUUUGAGAGCUGGGUUUAUUGGAAUUUAGAAAGAUGGGCUUUGAGAGCUGGGCCCGGUUUUGUAAUUGGUGGACAAGGAAGGAGAUGGGCCUGGUUUGAUUUGGGUUUCUUCUUCUUGGAGCUGAAUUUGGACAAUAGGCUUUGGGCUUGGCCAACCUCCUUUUGAUGGGCUUAUUGCUGCUAGAUAGAAGACAUAUAUAUAUAUAUAUAUAUAUAUAUAUAAGGAAUUUAUUUUUUUUAUUUUAUUUUUUUAUUUUUAAAUACAUAAACAUAUGCAUUCAUCAAUUUUUUUUUUUAAUAAAAUUGACUUUCUUUAAUAAAACAUUUAUUUAUAUUUUGAUGUGACUGAACUUGAAAUUGAAUAUUCAAGCUGCCUACGUACCCUUCCAAAGAAAAAGAUCAAGUCAAAACGUAGUUCAAAUGCAUUUUUUUUUUUUUUGAUUUUGAUGAUGAUUUUGAUGAUGAUUUUGCCGUACACAGUUUAUGCUCUUGCGGGCCAGGAGCGUUGGUGUUGCCUUUUAUGCUCGUGCAGACCAGGAGCGUUGUGCCAUGCAGUUUAGGCUCGUGCAGGCGAGGAGCCUUGGUUGUGGCCUUUUAGGGGUAGUAGCGCUUCAAGAAUCUUCCAUUGAUAGGGCCAAUCUUCAAGCCGUCUUCUGCCAUGAUUAAGUAGGCGCCGUUGGUGUAAACCUCUUGUAUUACGUAUGGUCCAUCCCACUUUGAUGUGAACUUGCUUUUCGUCUUGUGAGUUGUGAUGAUAGGCCUACGCAAUGCGAGGACGAGAUCUCCAGUUUGGAAAGACCUUGGGCGGACCUUCUUGUUGAAUGCCUUGGAUAGCCGUGCUUGGUAGCAUUCCAAGUGUUGUUGAGCUUCGAGGCUUCUUUCGUCGAGUGCUUCCAACUCUUGAAGGAGCAACUUUGCAUUCUCCUUCUCAGUCAAGCCUUCUUGUAUAGCCAUUCUCAGUGAGGGGAUUUGACUUUCGAGCGGUAGAACAGCUUCCACGCCAUAUACAAGAGAAUAAGGCGUAGCUUGGGUAGGAGUCCUAUGUGUCGUCCGAUAUGCCCAAAGUGCUUCGCUUAUUCUUUCAUGCCAAUCUCACUUUGUUCGGCCGAUCACCUUCUUUAAGAGAUUGCACAAUGUUUUGUUGAAUGCUUCUGCAAGACCGUUGGCCGGGGCAUGAUACAUGGAAGACUUAUGCUGCUUGAACUUGUAUUUCUCACAUAGCUCAUCCACGAGUCGGUUGGAGAAUUGCUUUCCGUUGUCAGUGAUGAUGUAACGAGGCACCCCAUAUCGGUGGAUGAUGUGCUCCUUGAUGAAACGGACGACAGUUUCCUUCUUUACUUCCCUUAGUGGUAUGGCUUCAGCCCACUUGGAGAAGUAAUCUGUUGCAGCUAGGAUGUAAGCUUCUCCUACAGAUGAUUUCGGAGUAAUUGGUCCUACGACGUCCAAUCCCCAUGUAUCGAAUGGCCAUGAAGCAACUGUAGGGUGUAAUGGCUCAGGUGGCUGGUGUAUGAAGUUUGCGUGGAAUUGGCAGGCUUAGCACCUUUUGGCAUAUUCCAGGCAGUCCUUCACCAUGCUUGGCCAGUAGUAGCCCAUUCUUUUGAGCUGGAAAUGUAGCUUUGGUCCAGAUUGAUGCGCCCCGCAUACGCCUGAGUGUGCUUCUUCCAUGGCUUGAUUAACUUCUUCCUCACCUAGGCAUCUCAGAAGUACUCAUUCGAAAGAGCGUCGGUAGAAUGUUUCUUUGUAAUAGAGGAAGCGAGGUGCUCGUCGACGUAUUUCGGAGCGGUGUUUAGGAUCAUCUGGAAGUUUUCCAUGCUCUAAGUAAUCGAUCAGCGGUUGUCUCCACUAUUCAACAUCGACUGGAAGUACUGAGAUGACAUUUGUAUCAUCCAGUAGCAUUUCAGUUACGAGGGGGAUCACCCAUCUUUGGCAGACUGGCACGUCUGCAGCUUCAUCUUCUCCUAUUGUCAUGCUUGAGGCUAGGUUGGCAAGAGCGUCUGCCAUUUGAUUUUCUUUUCUUGGCACAUGCUCUAGUGUCACAGUCUCAAACUCUUGUAGCAGUUGAGUUGCCAGCCGAAAGUAUGGGAUGAGAUCAUCUUUCUUCACCUCAUAUUCAGUUAAGAGUUGAUUGAUUAUGAGCUUGGAGUCGCCAAAUAUCUCAAGGGCUGUGAUCCCCAUAUUGAUCGCCAUUUGGAGUCUGAUGAUCAGUGCUUGGUACUCAGCGACAUUGUUGGAGCAUAAUUCGCUUAGUUGAAAGGAAUAAGGUAAUAUAUGCCUUUGUGGCGACAUGAAUACCACUCCUGCCCCCGCUCCGUCUGCUCGUGCAGAUCCGUCGAAGAACAUCGUCCAUGUCGGGAAGAUGUCGAUGUAGAACACUUCCUCGUCAGACAAGUCGUCUGAGAUUUUCCAAUCAGCUGGGAUUGGGUGAUCGGCAAGAAAGUCUGCCAGUGCUUGUCCCUUUACGGCUUUAGCUGGGACGUAGAUGAUCUCAUAUUGGUUAAGAAGUAGCGCCCAUUUAGCGAGUCGCCCUGUCAAGACGGGUUUGGACAUGACGUAUUUGACCGGGUCAGCUUUUGCAACCAAGUGGAUGGUGUACGCAUGCAUGUAAUGCCUGAGUUUCUGGAUGGCGAACACUAAGGCAAGGCACAUCUUUUCUAUUGGGGAGUAGUUUAACUCGGCGCCGGUGAGGGUUCGGCUGAGGUAGUAAAGCGCUCUUUCUUUCUGGGAUUCAUUCUCUUGCGCCAAGAGUGCUCCAACUGAACUUUCUUGAGCGGCCAUGUACAAUAUGAGUGGUUUCCCGGGCACAGGCGCCCCCAAGACAGGCGGACUUGACAAAUACUUUUUUAUGCUUUCAAAAGCAUUGUGGCAUGCUUCGUCCCAUACAAACGGAACAUCCUUCUUCAUGAGUCGGCUGAACGGUUGACAACGCCCUGCAAGGUUAGAGAUGAAGCGUCUGAUAAAUGCAAGCCGUCCUUGUAGACUUUUCAGCUCGUGCAGGUUUCUUGGCUCAGGCAUGCUUUGAAUGGCCUUGAUUUUUUAUUGGUCCACUUCAAUACCACGGUGCUUGACAAUGAAGCCGAGGAACUUUCCGGAGGUGACGUCAAACGCACAUUUUAAUGGGUUCAUCUUGAGGUUGUAUUUUCGCAGCCUUUCGAACACUACUCGCAAAUCCUUCAAGUGAUAUGAUCUUUUCUUUGUUUUGACCACCACAUCGUCUACAUAACAUUCUACGUUCUUGUGUAGCAUGUCAUUGAAGAUUUUCUGCAUUGCUCGUUGAUAUGUAGCUCCAGCGUUCUUUAGACCAAAGGGCAUCACCUUGUAACAGUAGAUACCUUUUGGAGUGCGGAAUGCUGUUAGUUCCUCGUCUUCGAGAGCCAUACGAAUUUGAUUGUAUUCAGAAGAGCCGUCCAUGAAUGACAGUGCCUCGUGGCCAGUGGUUGCGUCCACCAUGAUUUCAAUGAUUGGUAAGGGGAAGUCAUCUUUCGGAUAAGCGUCGUUGAGGUCCCGAAAGUCUACGCAAACACGUAUUUGUCCAGAUUUCUUAAGGACGAUGACGAUGUUGGAGAUCCACUUGGGGUAUUGCACCUCUCGAAUGAAUCCUGCUUCAAUUAGCUUGUCAAUCUCUGCCUCGAUUUGUGGAAUGAGCUCGGAUCGAUAUCGCCUUUGAGUUUGCUUUAUUGGUCGUGUUCCAGGCUUGACUGCAAGAUGAUGCACAGCGAUGACAGGGUCAAGGCCGGGCAUUUCUUUGUAAGUCCAGGCGAAGACGUCUUUGUACUCUGAUAGCAGUUGGUAGUACUCCUCUAUCUCGUCUGCUCUUAGCAGUGCACUUACAAAGAUAGGUUUUUGCUCCUCUUCUGUGCCCAAGUUGAGCUCCUUGAGAUCGUCAACCGUGGCUUGCCCCCCAUCCUCAAGUUGUGGUGGUGCAGCAGUGACAUCUUCUUCAAGGGUCUCGUCUUCUUUGCCUUCUUGGAUCGUGAUGUGGAAGACAUCUUGGACUUCCUUUUUAAUGUCGUCCUCUUGGGUUUGUUGGUAUGCAGAUUGUCCAGUAUGGAUGAUGGUGCGCCUUCUUACUAUCAGUGGUCCAUUUGCGUCAACCUCCAAGAUUGCUUGACGCUUCAUCCUUGAAGGAAUCGAGCUUCGAAUAUCACCUUUUCCUGCUAGCCUGUCGAGCUUUUCUUCCUUUGACGUUGUUUCCCUAUUUCCAGAAAACUUCAUGUUGUCUUCAAGUCUUUCCAAAGCUGACUGACGAGGAGGAGAGCUAGCUGUGUUGCUUUGCUUAUUAGGUUUUGACAACCUUUCAAAAAUAGAGCUUCGGGAGGUUGGCCUGUUAAGCCUCUUGAAGACGGAGGUUCGGUUUUGACCACCAAUGUGAUCAAGGGCUGACGUUCUGGGUCUUGAACGAUUCAUCCUAUCGAAGACUGGCGUUCGAGAGGUGGAUUUAGGCUCCUCUUGAUCUUGUUCCAUGCUCACACUGAUAUGUUGAGUGCUAGCAUUUUUCGUUUGGCUUGAAAUCUUCACGGGUGCACUUGGUGUGAAGCCAAGUCCAGCUUUGUUGUUGUUAACUCCGUAACCAUGCUUUUUCAACUUCUUUUGAGUCUCGGUGAGGUCACGUUCUUUAUUGUUGACGGUGUUUGAAACCUUUUUUCCAGGAUUUGAAGAAGAAACGAAGUCGUACCCAGCUUUUGACAUGAGUUUGUAGGCGUUCGGAUCAAAACCUUCUUCAGUCCUCUUGGUUGGGAGAAAACUUGGUUCCGCUCUCUUUGGUAGAGCUUUUACGAAGCCUUGUGGUAAUCUUGCAACCUUAGCGUUGCUUAGCUGUGUCAGAGGUAGAACUGCAUUCGUCUUGAGCAACUUUACAUUAUCCACGUACCGUUGUGCAUCGACUUUGCUUGCUUCAGUUUCGAAUGGGGAUUGACCAUUCUUUCUUCUUGACAUCGGGAUGUAUCGGAAAACGGGUGUGUUUAGUACAUUUGAGGGCGUCUUACUCUCUUUGGUUGUUGCGGGUUUAGCAAGCUCAUCAUUGUUCUUGCUUAAAGACGACAUGGCUUCUUCUUCUUGCUUCUUGGGCAUGGCUUGCCACUCCUGCUUUUUAGAUGUUGCUUUGCCCGUGGAUUUGAUCUCUUUUGGAAGAGCUUCGAGCACCAUGUCUUCAUCCAUGUAGAACUUGGCGUCUGGGAAAUGUGAUUCAGCUUCGGUGAAUGGUUUGGUGUCGCCAUAGAUCACCUUCACUCAUUCUCGGUAGAAUUUCAAGCAUUGGUGAAGGGUGGACGGUACUACUCCAUUUGCAUGGAUCCAAGGCCUUCCUAAGAGCAAGCCGUAGGAAGUUCUUGCAUCAAUCACGUGGAAUAUCGUGCUUGACUUGAGUUCACCAAUAGUCAUCUCUACUCGGAUCAUGCCCAUUGCUUUUUGUCCUCCUUGAUUAAAACCUUGGAUUAGUAGACGACUUAAGGACAGUUCAUCCGCCUUGAUGCCGAUUGUAGUCAUUGUUGACUUUGGCAUGAUGUUUAUGGCUGAUCCACCAUCCACAAGCAUGCGAUUGACUUUGUGCUCCCUUACGUACCCAGAGACGAAGAGAGGACGGUUGUGAGGCUUGGAUCCUAGCAGCAAGUCUUCGUCGGUGAAAUAGAUUGUGUCCUCGAUGGCACAGCAUGUGGCAUAUUCAUGUGGCCGAAGCUUGAAGCCUUCGUUCUUGCUUUCUUGCACUUCGUGGUCAUUGGGACUUUCCAAGACCGCUGCUAAUGCUAUUCGCAUCUUCUUUGGUAAUCGCAGCGCUUCCUCAAUGCUAAAAUGUGUUGGCAGACCUUCUUCGAGCGUGAGAGUUUUUUCUCUCUCAGUGGUGAUAUCUUUGCCUUUUGAAGGUUCUUCUAUUUCUACUUCAACCAUGUGGCAUGCAGCGAUAGUGCACUGUUGGAAGAAGUUAUUCGGGAAGUACUCGUGCAAUGAGACAGGGAUGCGUGGCUCUUGCUCCAUAGGUUCCCCAGCAUAUGUUGGCUUAUCAACUUUUACGUUGCUUUUGGGCUUCCUACUGUUGCGGCGACGGUGCUUUCUCACUUGUUCCACCUUUUGUCUUAUUGCUUGUGGUUUUGGUUUCCUUGUUUUUUUGUAGGUCACCAAUGUCCAUCAUUCUUCAUUAUCGGCAUGUGCAUCUUGUUCGUUUGCCCCCGGUGAUGGUUGUGCAGAAGGUAUCGUGUAACUUGAGCAUUGAUAGGAAUGGUCAAGUGCUACUUGGAGAGGCACGGGAUCGAAAGUUCCAAAUGCAAUUGUAGUAGUAUGUGUCGCGGCCGUAUCUUCGAGGUCGAGCUCGAUUCGCCCUUGUUGUGCUAGCUUCAUGAUGAGCUCUUUGAGAACGAAGCAUUUACCCACAGGAUGGCUCACGAUUCGAUGGUACUUGCAGUAUUUAGGAUCAUUUAUGCGAUUCAUUUCUUCAGGCCGCUUGCAUUUGGGUAGCUCGAUUACCUUCUUUUCUAGCAAGUCGUCUAACAUUGCAUCCAUGUCUGAGUCAGGAAAAAGGUAUACCUUCUGCUCCAAUUCCCUCAAGGUGUUUUUGUACCUUUCUUAGGUGCGGGGAGGCUCACUUUUCUUUAUCUCAUUUGCUUUAGUUUUGGAGGAGAUCUUGAUAGGCGCGGAGGCGGUCUUGACGGGCGCAGUGCUGACGGUGAACGCUUCCUUGAGGGGUUUCUUCCCAGUCUUGUCGACAUUUGGGGAGAACACCUUAUCCUUCUUGAAGUCUGUGAUCGGCUCUUUCUUCCCGUGAUGGGCAAUACUUAGCUCCAUGUCAUAGGCACGGGUGGCUAACUCUUCAAAUGUCCGUGGUUUGAUGCCUUGAAGGAUAUAGUGUAACCCCCAUUGCAUGCCUUGGACGCACAUCUCAAUCGAAGAGAUCUCCGAGAGCCUGUCCUUGCAAUCGAGGCUCAGAUUACGCCAUCGGUUGAUGUAGUCCACGACUGGCUCAUCCCUCUAUUGCUUCGUGCUUGUCAGCUCUAGCAUGCUCACGGUGCGGCGGAUGUUGUAGAAGCGGUUGAGGAAUUCCCUUUCCAACUGUUCCCAGCUGUUGAUGGAUUUGGGCUCCAGGUCUGUGUACCACUCAAAGGCAUUUCCUUUUAACGAGCGCACAAAUUGCUUGGCGAGGUAAUCUCCUUCCGUCCCUGCAUUGUUGCAGGUUUCGACAAAGUGUGCGACAUGUUGCUUCGGGUUUCCUUUUCCAUCAAACUGCAUGAACUUUGGUGGUUGAUAACCCCUUGGCAUCUUUAGGGCAUCAAUCUUCUUGGAGUAGGGCUUUGAGUAGAAUGAUGAGGUAUGUGAGCUCCCUUCGUACUGCGCCUUGAUGGUGCUGGCGAUCAUCUCUUGCAGUUGUUGGAUAGAAAGAGAUCCCAUGAGUGCCUCUGCUUGGCCUGGCUCCGGCUUCACAUCGAUUUUCUCCACCGGAGGCUCUUCAUCCUCGUUGUUUUCCUUCUUUACUGAACCAUCCCCUUGCUCGAUUUUCACGUCGGGCUUUACAUCUAGUUGAUUGACUAGUGCGGCGAUUUGCUGGUCCUUUUCUUCCACAAUCUGUGUUAGCCUUGCGAUUGUUUCAUUCAUAUGAGCCAGUUGCUCAUCGAUUGAAGUCGCUCCAGUAGUCAUGACUUGCAUGGCUGAGUUGCCGCUUGAGUCAGCAUCGGAAAGCAUGAAACUAGAGUACUUCCUUGGGCUUUCCUUCCUUGGCGCCUUUAGCGAAGCCAGGGUGAUCACAGGUUCAUGCUUCAGGUGCUCUUGUUCCUUCAGCGGAGUUGAUGCAGGGGUGGAAGAUGCGGCAGAAAGAGCUCUUGCCUUGCUUCGAGUUAUGAUGCCCGAAGUGACACCGCCUACGGUGAUAACGUUCUUGUUCCUUGCAUUGGCUGCGAGAACAACUUGAGCCUUCUUUGAUGCCAUCUGUGCUUUUUGCGGAUUCAAAGAUAGAAAUGAGAGGUAGAGAUGGUCCCACCGGGCGUGCCAAAUUUGUGAACACGGAAAUUUCCUGCGAUGAACGAGACAAGAAACACGUGUACAAAAUAAUAUUUGUAUUGAUGAUUUAGGGGUUACAAUCUCUUCUACCAAUUUAGCCUCUGAUUCUAUCUUUGCAAUUAAUGGAUUUGAUGUUGUUGGUCCAAAGGGCCGUCGGGGCUUGAUCUUGACGAACGGAUGAACGGAUCUUCAAGGAUCGUUGGGCUUGAACUUGACGAACAGAUCUUCAAGGGCCUUUGGGAUUGAUCUUGAAGAAUGGAUGUGUGGAUUUGUUGAUGUUUGUUGAUCCAAAGGGCCGUUGGGGCUUAUCUUAGGAUGAACGGAUGAUGAACGAUGAACACUUUCUUCAAGGGCCGUCGGGGCUUGAUCUUGAAUAGGUGAAUGGUCUUCAAGGGUCGUCGGGGCUUGAUCUUGAAAGAGGAUUUGACGAAGAACGAAGAGAGCUUUCUUGAUCUUUCGAGAAUUUGCUUGAGAGCUUUAGAGUUUCAAAGCUUCAAGGUUGUGGUGUAAUGUGAAUUGGUUAUGAAUUGGUUUUUUUCAAAAUGAAUGCCUUGGCCUCCUAUUUAUAGAAUUCCAAAACUUGAUUUUUUUGGAUUUAAAAAAUUAGAUGAAAUAAAUCAUUUCUGCCAGGUGUUGACACGUGUCCCGUUUGAUGACUUUUCCGAUUUAUUUUGAUUUUUCGUUUAGUCACAUGUUAUGUGUAAAAUUUAUGUGACACAUAAACAUUGAAAUUUUAAUUAUUGAUCAACAUUUAUUUUACCGAAAUUUCGAUGUCUACACUAGAAAUUUGAAAAUGUGGGAGAGACAACAUAUACAAAUUUUGCUUCCACACUGUUGAGCAUGAGAUUGUGAUGCAAGCCACACCUUGUAGUAGUCGAAGGUUUGGAUGAACCAUAUAAAUUGAAUUUGCUUCGAACAGUCUUGAAUUUGCUUCGAAGGUUUGAGAAUUAUAGUUGCCCUUCAUUAAUGAAGCUUUUGUUGGCACCAUAAAUUGGUUUUGCUUCACACUGUCUUGAUUGAGAGUGUGUGAAGCUUUUGAGAAUUGUGGUUGCCCUCCAUUGAUGAAGCUCUUGUUGGCACCAUAAAUUGGUUUUGCUUCAUGAUGCGAAAAUUAACUUAACACACAAAUUAAACCCUUUUGUUGUCAAAUUGUAGUAUAAAUGCAAGUAGGGAUCGUUCUAAACCGGGGAUUAAGAGGGCUUGCUAAACCUCUAAACUGACUUAAAAACAUAUAAACAAAGUUAAAAACACUAAACUAAACUCAAAGAACUUAAAACAAACUCAAUGACUCAAAACAAGCUAAAAACGCUCAAAUCUGCCUAAAAACACAAAAUGGGCAAAUUUGGACUCUAACACACUUUUAGGACACCUAAAAACAUAAAUCAAAACAGAUUUUGACUAAUAAAACACUUUAAAGUAAAUGGGGUUUUGGUUUUGACGAAUUUGAAAACAAAACAAGUAAAUUAAAGAACUAAUGAAAUCUGCAUGAAUUUGAGUAAAUUGAAUGGAUGGAAGGCUAGCUAGGAGGUUCUUCUCCACACAUGACAUACUUGCACAUAAACCAAUUUUCAGUUGUUCUUUCGAUCAAUCAUGAAACUCAACACCCCAGGUUAAUUAAGUCCGCUUAAAUUAACCUUCAAGUUCUCUUUAAGUUAUUGAAUUGGAUGAGAAAGCGCAUACAACAAUUCAAGCAUUCUUCAAAAGUUCUUUACGUGAACAACACAAUAAAGAUACAAUCAAAGAUCGUUAAGCAUUAUGAAAAUUAUAAGUAUUGACGAGGCAUUCGUUACUAUGAUGAGCAUGAAACUCCUGCCAAGAAUUUAUUUAACGCGAUCGUUUAUAAGCGACCUCCACUACUUGUGAAUAUAAGUGGAUGUAAUGGGUGUAGUGGAUGAGUGUUUGGUAAUGAGUGGAUGUAAUGGGUGUAAUGGGAGUGGAUGAGUGUUUGGUAAUGUAAUGAGUGGAUGUAAUGGGUGUAGUGGAUGAGUGUUUGGUAAUGAGUGGAUGUAAUGGGUGUAGUGGAUGAGUGUUUGGUAAUGAGUGGAUGUAAUGGGUGUAGUGGAUGAAUGUUUGGUAAUGAAUGGAUGUAAUGGUUGUAGUGGAUGGAUGAUUGGUAAUGAGUGGAAGUAAUGGGUGUAGUGGAUGAGUGUUUGGUAAUGAGUGGAUGUAAUGGGUCUAGUGGAUGGAUGUUUGGUAAUGAGUGGAUGUAAUGGGUGUAGUGGAUGAGUGUUUGUAGUUGUAGGUCAACACACUUGCACACACACAUGCUGAUUUCUAGCCUUCUAAUCUUCAAAAACGUCCAUCCUCAUGUCUCCCUGCUUGCACUAUCCAAUCUUGGCCCAAAAAUACUCCAAAGUGCUCCAAAUAGCACUUUGUUGCCAACUUUGUUAUUUGAGCCUACAAACACAUGAAAAUAGCUUAAAGUACUAAAAUAACUAGAAUUAAACUAAGUAAAUGCUAAGAAACAAGCUCAUUAAUUUGCAUAAAUAUACUCCUAUCAAAUUCCCCCACACUUAGCUUUUGCUAGUCCUCGAGCAAAACAAAAGAAACAAAAUGAAACAAAACAAACAAAACAUAACCUAACCUUCCAACAUUUGCCUCUAGGAUUUCCAAUGCACAUGACAUGUUAAAAAUUAUCAUUCCCACAGAUUUUGAUUAUCUUCACACUUGAGCACAAACUUAAUCGCAGUCACUACUUACUAGUUCACAAUUAACCAAUUAAAAUAAUGUUUUGAAUGUAGUAACAUGCCGUAGAGAAUUUGCUCAAUUCUUUACAAGAUACUCUCUAUUUUCUCACACAUGACUACACACCCUACACUAGAGACUGGGACUCACUGUCAUAACAAAUGAAGCAAUUUUCUGGAGUUAUUAAGCAUGUUUAGAUAUGAUCUCAUGAAUGGAACGCUACUACUUAGAUGCGAGAAUCAGUGACACCAUAUGCUCAUACCAAUUCCAAACUCCACAUAUUGAAGCACAUAACACUCAAGAUGAAGUUAAGGGUUGUAAUUGGGCUUGGGGGUAAUGGCUAACAAAGAAAGGAUAAGGAUAACAAACGUUCUUCAAGCAAUAGCAAGCAAAGUAAUGAAAUCAACACUUGGAAUUCACUUUAGAAUGCAGAAUUAACUUUUACAUACAAAGGGAAGAUUCAUGCAACACUUAGGGCCGAAUUUAAUGUUUUUGGACCUUUUCUUCAACAAACAAUACUUUAAAGCUCUUUUUCACAUAUUUUCUAACUCUUUUUACAACUUUUCUUCAUUUCAUUCUAUUUUCCACGAAUUUUUUCUUUUUCUUUUCCUUUUCUAUCCGUGCCUUAUGAAGGACUUUGGCACACACACACACAAGAAUCACUUCCCCCACACUUGUUUUUCUGCAAGAGUUCAACAAAAGGAAUUCCUUAUAAAUUAUGCUUUACUAUGCUUCAAGAACAAGGGUUUGGAUAGUCCUAAUCUAGACUAGGUGAGGAUAGUGUGGGUAACAAAGAACAUAGGCAACACAUGGCUCAACGGGGUUAAACUUAAACACAUAAUGAACGGGAUAGGCUUUUUGGCUCUUGGCUCACUAAACAACUUCAUCUUGAAUAUGUGUUAUGCAAAUCAAUAACAUGCUUUGAAUGAAAUAGGCAUGAAUUCUAGCAUUUGGAACUAAAUGAUGAAACGCCUUCUAAGUAGCAACCAAGCAAAGAAUAAUGAGAUCAUGCAAUGACUUUAGAAAACAAUGAUGCACAGAUUAUUAACUCUCCAAAUAAACGUUUAGGCUCAAGUCUCACAAGGUUGUAGUGUACAUUUGAGUUCCUUCUUUCAAGCAUGUUACAAAACUGAUUUUUCCUUUAUGAUUGCAUGUGAAUUCAAAAAUUAUAACCAUAACCAAGCAUACACCAAAGAGUAAAUCAAAUUUUCAUCCAUGUUUAUAACUCUCUUUAACAGUCAUGUAAUUAAAAACCAAAUCCUCAUCAUUGUGUUGGAAGGUACCCUAAGACACAAAUGUUUACAAAAACAACUCUUUUUGGGGUUUUCAAAUUUUUAUGAGAUUUUUGGAUUUUUAUGUCAAAACACACUGAAACACUCCAAAACAGCUUAAAAACACUUAGAACAGCAAGGAACAACACUAGAAGUAAUGGGUGAUAAACUCCUACGAAUUUCAUGCAAAACAAUGGUUACCCCCCACACUUAAAUCAAACAUUGUCCUCAAUCUUUCAAGCAUAAACUCACACAAAAAACAAGCAAACAAACAAACAACGAAUAAACAUGACAAGUAUGGCAAAGUAAAAACCAGACAGAGUAGAGUUUAAGAACGCAAAUCUGGUUUUGGAGAUAGAUGAUCUUGUUGUCUUUCCACAGCUUUGAUCUCGAACUGGUUUGGAAUUCUGAGCGAGGAAUAUGAGAGUUCCUUCCUUCAAAUCAGACUCNNNNNNNNNNNNNNNNNNNNNNNNNNNNNNNNNNNNNNNNNNNNNNNNNNNNNNNNNNNNNNNNNNNNNNNNNNNNNNNNNNNNNNNNNNNNNNNNNNNNNNNNNNNNNNNNNNNNNNNNNNNNNNNNNNNNNNNNNNNNNNNNNNNNNNNNNNNNNNNNNNNNNNNNNNNNNNNNNNNNNNNNNNNNNNNNNNNNNNNNNNNNNNNNNNNNNNNNNNNNNNNNNNNNNNNNNNNNNNNNNNNNNNNNNNNNNNNNNNNNNNNNNNNNNNNNNNNNNNNNNNNNNNNNNNNNNNNNNNNNNNNNNNNNNNNNNNNNNNNNNNNNNNNNNNNNNNNNNNNNNNNNNNNNNNNNNNNNNNNNNNNNNNNNNNNNNNNNNNNNNNNNNNNNNNNNNNNNNNNNNNNNNNNNNNNNNNNNNNNNNNNNNNNNNNNNNNNNNNNNNNNNNNNNNNNNNNNNNNNNNNNNNNNNNNNNNNNNNNNNNNNNNNNNNNNNNNNNNNNNNNNNNNNNNNNNNNNNNNNNNNNNNNNNNNNNNNNNNNNNNNNNNNNNNNNNNNNNNNNNNNNNNNNNNNNNNNNNNNNNNNNNNNNNNNNNNNNNNNNNNNNNNNNNNNNNNNNNNNNNNNNNNNNNNNNNNNNNNNNNNNNNNNNNNNNNNNNNNNNNNNNNNNNNNNNNNNNNNNNNNNNNNNNNNNNNNNNNNNNNNNNNNNNNNNNNNNNNNNNNNNNNNNNNNNNNNNNNNNNNNNNNNNNNNNNNNNNNNNNNNNNNNNNNNNNNNNNNNNNNNNNNNNNNNNNNNNNNNNNNNNNNNNNNNNNNNNNNNNNNNNNNNNNNNNNNNNNNNNNNNNNNNNNNNNNNNNNNNNNNNNNNNNNNNNNNNNNNNNNNNNNNNNNNNNNNNNNNNNNNNNNNNNNNNNNNNNNNNNNNNNNNNNNNNNNNNNNNNNNNNNNNNNNNNNNNNNNNNNNNNNNNNNNNNNNNNNNNNNNNNNNNNNNNNNNNNNNNNNNNNNNNNNNNNNNNNNNNNNNNNNNNNNNNNNNNNNNNNNNNNNNNNNNNNNNNNNNNNNNNNNNNNNNNNNNNNNNNNNNNNNNNNNNNNNNNNNNNNNNNNNNNNNNNNNNNNNNNNNNNNNNNNNNNNNNNNNNNNNNNNNNNNNNNNNNNNNNNNNNNNNNNNNNNNNNNNNNNNNNNNNNNNNNNNNNNNNNNNNNNNNNNNNNNNNNNNNNNNNNNNNNNNNNNNNNNNNNNNNNNNNNNNNNNNNNNNNNNNNNNNNNNNNNNNNNNNNNNNNNNNNNNNNNNNNNNNNNNNNNNNNNNNNNNNNNNNNNNNNNNNNNNNNNNNNNNNNNNNNNNNNNNNNNNNNNNNNNNNNNNNNNNNNNNNNNNNNNNNNNNNNNNNNNNNNNNNNNNNNNNNNNNNNNNNNNNNNNNNNNNNNNNNNNNNNNNNNNNNNNNNNNNNNNNNNNNNNNNNNNNNNNNNNNNNNNNNNNNNNNNNNNNNNNNNNNNNNNNNNNNNNNNNNNNNNNNNNNNNNNNNNNNNNNNNNNNNNNNNNNNNNNNNNNNNNNNNNNNNNNNNNNNNNNNNNNNNNNNNNNNNNNNNNNNNNNNNNNNNNNNNNNNNNNNNNNNNNNNNNNNNNNNNNNNNNNNNNNNNNNNNNNNNNNNNNNNNNNNNNNNNNNNNNNNNNNNNNNNNNNNNNNNNNNNNNNNNNNNNNNNNNNNNNNNNNNNNNNNNNNNNNNNNNNNNNNNNNNNNNNNNNNNNNNNNNNNNNNNNNNNNNNNNNNNNNNNNNNNNNNNNNNNNNNNNNNNNNNNNNNNNNNNNNNNNNNNNNNNNNNNNNNNNNNNNNNNNNNNNNNNNNNNNNNNNNNNNNNNNNNNNNNNNNNNNNNNNNNNNNNNNNNNNNNNNNNNNNNNNNNNNNNNNNNNNNNNNNNNNNNNNNNNNNNNNNNNNNNNNNNNNNNNNNNNNNNNNNNNNNNNNNNNNNNNNNNNNNNNNNNNNNNNNNNNNNNNNNNNNNNNNNNNNNNNNNNNNNNNNNNNNNNNNNNNNNNNNNNNNNNNNNNNNNNNNNNNNNNNNNNNNNNNNNNNNNNNNNNNNNNNNNNNNNNNNNNNNNNNNNNNNNNNNNNNNNNNNNNNNNNNNNNNNNNNNNNNNNNNNNNNNNNNNNNNNNNNNNNNNNNNNNNNNNNNNNNNNNNNNNNNNNNNNNNNNNNNNNNNNNNNNNNNNNNNNNNNNNNNNNNNNNNNNNNNNNNNNNNNNNNNNNNNNNNNNNNNNNNNNNNNNNNNNNNNNNNNNNNNNNNNNNNNNNNNNNNNNNNNNNNNNNNNNNNNNNNNNNNNNNNNNNNNNNNNNNNNNNNNNNNNNNNNNNNNNNNNNNNNNNNNNNNNNNNNNNNNNNNNNNNNNNNNNNNNNNNNNNNNNNNNNNNNNNNNNNNNNNNNNNNNNNNNNNNNNNNNNNNNNNNNNNNNNNNNNNNNNNNNNNNNNNNNNNNNNNNNNNNNNNNNNNNNNNNNNNNNNNNNNNNNNNNNNNNNNNNNNNNNNNNNNNNNNNNNNNNNNNNNNNNNNNNNNNNNNNNNNNNNNNNNNNNNNNNNNNNNNNNNNNNNNNNNNNNNNNNNNNNNNNNNNNNNNNNNNNNNNNNNNNNNNNNNNNNNNNNNNNNNNNNNNNNNNNNNNNNNNNNNNNNNNNNNNNNNNNNNNNNNNNNNNNNNNNNNNNNNNNNNNNNNNNNNNNNNNNNNNNNNNNNNNNNNNNNNNNNNNNNNNNNNNNNNNNNNNNNNNNNNNNNNNNNNNNNNNNNNNNNNNNNNNNNNNNNNNNNNNNNNNNNNNNNNNNNNNNNNNNNNNNNNNNNNNNNNNNNNNNNNNNNNNNNNNNNNNNNNNNNNNNNNNNNNNNNNNNNNNNNNNNNNNNNNNNNNNNNNNNNNNNNNNNNNNNNNNNNNNNNNNNNNNNNNNNNNNNNNNNNNNNNNNNNNNNNNNNUUCCUUGGAUUGCAUGAUCCUGCAAGGAAUUAAAGACAUUUGGUGAAACGGGGUCAGGACAAAUUGAAUUUAGGCUUACCUUGGUUGUAGUGGACGGCAUAGAUGGCAUAUGGGGUUGCGGCAAAUGUGGUUCUUCCCUUGCCAUGGCCUUGUUAUUCUCCUAUUCUUUGAGCAGGAGUUGUUCAUCCAUGUUUUGGCUUGGUUUGGAUGUCUUGGGUUCACCUCCAACCUCUAUAGCACUUCCCAAAGUAAUAGCAUCAUGGAUUUCAAAAUCUUCCUUCAAAUUUUCAAUAGUUGAGUUGGAGAGUUCACUUUGCUCUUGAAUUUGUGCCAUGAAUUCCAUAAUCUGCCUAAUUUGCUUCUCCAAUUCACCCGUCUUCUUGGCUUGAUUUUGCAUUUCUUUGUUUCCAUUUUCUACUUCCUGGUUCAAAGAGGUGAGUAACUUAUUAAACAUAUCAUUAUCCAAAGACGUACCUGAAUUGAAUUGGGCAGGUUGUGGUGGCUGCAUAGGUCUUGAAUAGAACUCAUCUUCUUGCUGCCAAUACCCAUCUUGUUGGAAUUGUUGAGGUUCUCCCCACAUGUAAUCUGAAUAAUCUCUCUAAUCCGAAUUGUAAGCGUUGGAAAACAUGUUGUCCCAUGAUUGGCUAUGGCCUUAAUAACCCCAAGCAUCUUCAUUCGCAGCGAAUUGAUAACAUUGAUGAGUUGGAUAUCCUUACCCAUAGAACACACCAUAUGUAGGGACACUUUGCAUUGUGGUCCUUUCGGCAUAUUGUGACAAUUGAGAAGUAAGUUUCGCCAAUUGAGCUUGAAUGGUAGCAAAAUUCAUGUCUUACUUCUCUAGUACCUGAAAUCAAGGAAACAAAACUAAAUCAAAUAUCAUAAGUAAAAAUAAAAGAAACAAAUAGAAACAGAGUCAGUAACUAAAACAAAAGACAUGAAAAAGAAACAACGGGGGAUUAGCAAAGUUGCUAAUCCCCGGCAACAGCGUCAAAAAUUUGAUGCGAAAAUUAACUUAACACACAAAUUAAACCCUCUUGUUGUCAAAUUGUAGUGUAAAUGCAAGUAAGGAUCGUUCUAAACCGGGGAUUAGGAGGGCUUGUUAAAACCUCUAAACUGACUUAAAAACAUAUAAACAAAGUUAAAAACACUAAACUAGACUCAAAGAACUUAAAACAAACUCAAAUGACUCAAAACAAGCUAAAAACGCUCAAAUCUGCCUAAAAACACAAAUUGGGCAGAUUUGGACUCUAACACACUUUUGGGACACCUAAAAACACAAAUCAAAACAGAUUUUGACUAAUAAAACACUUUAAAGUAAAAGGGGUUUUGGUUUUGACGAAUUUGAAAACAAAACAAGUAAAUUAAAGAACUAAUGAAAUCUGCACGAAUUUGAGUAAAUUGAAUGGAUGGAAGGCUAGCUAGGAGGUUCUUCUCCACACAUGACAUACUUGCACAUAAACCAAUUUUCAGUUGUUCUUUCGAUCAAUCAUGAAACUCAACACCCCAGGUUAAUUAAGUCCGCUUAAAUUAACCUUCAAGUUCUCCUUAAGUUAUUGAAUUGGAUGGGAAAACGCGUACAACAAUUCAAUCAUUCUUCAAAAGUUCUUUACGUGAAUAGCACAAUAAAGAUACAAUCAAAGAUCGUUAAGCAUUAUGAAAACUAUAAGUAUUGACGAGGCAUUCAUUACUAUGAUGAGCAUGAAACUCCUGCCAAGAAUUUAUUUAACGCGAUCGUUUAUAAGCGACCUCCAUUACUUGUGAAUAUAAGUUUGUAACUAUUAGGUGAAACUCCCUUAUACUCUAGCAUCAUAUUCAUGCAUGCAAACUAAGUGUGCACUCUUAAUAAACAUACACGAAUACGUUAUCAAUCAAGCAAUUAAACAAAUUGAAUUCACAACUUAUGAAAUCACAACUAAAGGUAAUCAAAUCAUAUUGCAAGCAUGAACAUGGUUUCGAAUUCCCCCUAGCUAAGGGGGUUUAGUUCCUCAUACUCAUAAAGCAAAGAUAAACAAAUUUAGACAUUGAAAACAAAAGAAUGAAAACACCUAAAAACGCUCAAACAAUCCAACUUGAAUGGCAAGCACGUCCAAGGGUCCUCCUUCUUCUCUUUGUUGCGGCACAAGGUAUGGUUUGAUGGAUGAGUGGUAAAUUAUGGUGGUGGAUGGAUAUAGGUGAGUUAUGGUGAAGGGUGGAUGGGUGGAUUGUGUUCUCCCCCAGUUUUUCUUUUUUUCCUUUGUUAUGGUGAAGGGUGAAUGUAUUUAUAGGCUAGGGAGAGGACCGCCAUCUAAUUAAGGUGGUAGUGGUGUAUGUUGUGGUAAUGAGUGGAUGUAAUGGGUGUAGUGGAUGAGUGUUUGGUAAUGAGUGGAUGUAAUGGGUGUAGUGGAUGGAUGUUUGAUAAUGAGUGGAUGUAAUGGGUGUAGUGGAUGGAUGUUUGGUAAUGAGUGGAUGUAAUGGGUGUAGUGGAUGAGUGUUUGUAGUUGUAGGUCAACACACUUGCACACACACAUGCUGAUUUCUAGCCUUCUAAUCUUCAAAAACGUCCAUCCUCAUGUCUCCAUGCUUGCACUAUCCAAUCUUGGCUAAAAAAUGCUCCAAAGUGCUCCAAAUAGCACUUUGUUGCCAACUUUGUUAUUUGAGCCUACAAACACACGAAAAUAGCUUAAAGUACUAAAAUAACUAGAAUUAAACUAAGUAAAUGCCAAGAAACAAGCUCACCAAGUUGCAUAAAUAUGCUUCUAUCACUUCACACUUUCUUGAUCAAGAGUGUGUGAAGCUUUUGGGAAUUGUGGUUGAACUCCUUUGAUGAAGCUCUUGUUGGCACCAUAAAUUGGUUUUCCUUCACACUGUCUUGAUCAAGAGUGUGUGAAGCUUUUGAGAAUUGUGAUUGCCUUCCAUUGACGAAGCUCUUGUUAGCACCAUAAAUUGGUUUUGCUUCACACUGUCUUGAUCAAGAAUGUGUGAAGCUUUUGAGAAUUGUGGUUAAACUCCUUCAAAUUGUGGUUACCCUCCAUUGAUGAAGCUCUUGUUGGCACCAUAAAUUGGUUUUACUUCACACUGUCUUGAUCAAGAGUAUGUGAAGCUUUUGAGAAUUGUGGUUGAACUCCUCUGAUGAAGCUUUUGUUGGCACCAUAAAUUGGUUUUGCUUCACACUGUCUUGAUCGAGAGUGUGUGAAGCUUUUAAGAAUUGUGGUUGCCCUCCAUUGAUGAAGCUCUUGUUGGCACCAUAAAUUGGUUUUGCUUCACACUGUCUUGAUCAAGAGUGUGUGAAGCUUUUGAGAAUUGUGGUUGCUCUCCAUUGAUGAAGCUCUUGUUGGCACCAUAAAUUGGUUUUGCUUCACACUGUCUUGAUCAAGGGUGUGUGAAGCUUUCUAUGAGUUGUAAUGUUUGCAUUGUUACAUAAGGGAAAUGUUUGAAGUAGAUGCAAGAGAGCUAAAUAGCUUGAUCUUCGUAUGCCAUGCACUGAAGUUGAUGUUGGCUUGCAAUAAGACUUUGUUGGUGACUAUAACUCUUGUUGGGCAUAAGUGCUCCCCUAGUUGAGUUGUCAAGCUUGAGGGUUUUUUAUUAUUUGUGAAUGCUAGGAGUUCACAUGUACAAGUUGUAUCAUUCGUCUUCUGGUAGAUGGAAUGGAUGGUGAGUUGCUUUCAUCACUUGGUUGGUAGUAUGAAGGUGAGUUCCUUCUUCCCCUGGUUGGUGGUAUGAAUGGCAAGUUGCCAAAUGAUAUUAGAGUACGGGUUGUACAUUUCAUCAUCUGGUUGGUUGCAUGAAGGAGAGUACAUGUUAUACAUUUCAUCACCUGGUUUGUGGCAUGAAGAUGAGUUCCUUCUUCACCUGGUUGAUGGCAUGAGUGGCAAGUUGCCAAAUGAUAUUAGAGUACAGGUUCUACAUUUCAUCACCUGGUUGGUGGCAUGAAGGAGAGUACGGGUUGUACAUUUCAUCACCUGGUUGGUGGCAUGAAUGGCAAGUUGCCAAAUGAUAUUAGAGUACGGGUUGUACAUUUCAUCACCUGGUUGGUGGCAUGAAGGAAAGUUUGGGUUGUACAUUUCAUCACCUGGUUGGUGAGAAUAAGGGCAAGGUGUCUAGGCACAUUGUAGCAAGUGUCGAAUGACACAAAAUAUGUUGAACCUUUUAAAAGCACAAUUGGCUUAUGUAUGAAUGUGUUGGAAUGUAUGAUUGAACGAAUAUACUGUGAAGCUAUUUGUUUAUUUGUAUAGUCUUGUUGACAUAUACUUAGACUUUGUUUCAUGUUGGAAGCAUUCAUGUUGAAGCUUUGAACCCGAGUGUUUCAUUGCUAGGAAUGUAAGAGGAUUAGGAUCGAGUUGUCUAAAUCACCUAUUUAUUGAAUUCAUGCCAAAUAGUCUUCGUUACAUAGGAUGCUGAACCGCUGAAGCUUAACACUUGUACAAUGUGAGUUUACUUGUAAUAGUACUUCAAGUGAUCAACGUUCCAUGGAUGACCAAUGGUCUUGCCAUCGGAGCUUCUAAGCUUGUAGGAGCUAGGGCGACUGAUGUCAACAACUUCAAACGGUCCAUCCCAGUUUGGACUAAGUGUUCAUUCACUCGGGACUCUAUCGCAGAGUAAUCUUUUCUUCAAUACCCAGUCCCCCACUUUGAAAGAAUGAAGUUUGACCCUUAAUUCAUAGUAGUUGGAGAUGCACUGCUUGUAGGCGACAUUCCUAAAUGUGAGCCUGGUUUCUGUGUUCCUCGACUAGAUCUAAGUUGAGGGUAAGCUGUUUGUCAUUUUUGCUUUGUAUGUAGUUCUGGACUCUGAACGUUGCUUGCUCAAGCUCAACUGGGACAACUGCCUCUGUACCAAAGGCAAUUGAGAAUGGAGUUUCUCCUAUUGAUGUACGAUACGAAGUGCGGUGUGACCAAAGAACUUGGGGUACAAAUUCUGGCCAAUAACCUUUAGCCUUGUCCAAGCUGGUUUUCAAAGUUCGCUUGAUUAUUUUGUUGAUGGCUUCAACUUGUCCAUUAGACUGGGGAUGAGCUGGGGAGGCAAAACAUAAGUUGAUGUUGAACUUAGAGCAGAACAUCCUGAACUUAUUGUUGUCGAACUGUCGCCCGUUGUCAGUGACUAUCGCAUUGGGAAUGCCGAAUCUGCAAAGGAUGUUCUUCCAUACGAAGUCUUUUAUUUUUGCCUCAGUAAUGGUUGCCAAGGGUUCUACUUCGGCCCACUUUGUGAAGUAGUCAACUGCAACGAUUGCAUAGCGAACCUUGCCCUUCCCUGCAUGCAUUGGGCCGAUCAAAUCAAGUCCCCAUUGGGCGAAGAGCCAAGGGCUGAUCAUAGGAGUGAGUGGCUCAGGAGGGGAGUGAGGAAUAGUUGCGUAGCGUUGACACUUAUCACAUGAGCGGGAUAUUCUGAUGGCAUCUUGGUAGAGUGUUGGCCAGUAAUAUCCUUGGAGAAAAGCCUUAUAUGCUAGAGAUCAAGAUCCAAACUGACCCACUGCUUGGCCCUUCUCAGCUGGCUUUGGUUGGUAGGAGAUGUCAAACUGACCCAAUGCUAUCGCCCAUUUGAUCAUUCGCCCGAAAGUGUCAGGACUUUGGAGUAUCUGUCGAAGAGGAUGAUUGGUAAGCACGAUGAUGGAGUGUGUUUGAAAGUAAGGGCGAUGUUUUCGAGCAGACAUGACCAAUGCUAGAGCCAAUUUCUCAAUGUUCGAGUAUCGUGUCUCCGCAUCUUCUAAGGCCAUGCUAGUGUAGUAGACAGGUCGUUCGACAUUACCAUCAUUUAGAAUGAGAACGGAACUUACUGCUGAAGCCGAUACCGACAGAUAGAUAAUGAGUGUCACCAACCUCAGGUUUAGAGAGCAAAUGGGCUUUACUCAUGUAGUCUUUGAGGUUCUUGAAUGCCUCAGCACAUUCAUCAGUCCAUGUAAUGUACUUCUUACUUCCUUUAAGUGCUUUGAAGAAAGGAGCACAUCUGUCGAUGACCUCAGAGGUGAACCUAGUUAAGGCGGCUAACUUGCCAGUAAGGCUCUGGAUGUCUUUUGAAGUUACCGGUUCCUUCAUGUCGAGGAUUGAUUUGAUUUUCUCGGGAUUAGCCUCAAUGCCUCGUUGGCUUAUCAUGAAGCCUAAGAAUUUGCCAGAGUUUACGCCGAAGGCACAUUUGUUGGGGUUCAACCUCAUUCGAUACCUCUUCAGAAUGGUGAAAGUUUCAGAUAGGCUGGUGAUGUGUUGGUCAGCAUGUUUGCUCUUGACAGCAUAUUAUCACCGUAAACUUCCAUGCUCUUCCCAAUCUGUUCGGUGAACAUUGAAUUGACCAGUUUCUGAUAAGUCACUCCUGUAUUCUUUAGGCCGAAUGACAUGACUUUAUAGCAAUAUAAUCCCCUGUCAGUAGUGAAGGCUGUGUGUUCUUGGUCGGGAGGGUUCAUGAGGAUUUGGUUGUAUCUUGAGUAAGCAUCCAUGAAGCUCAGGAGUUCAUACCUUGCCGUAGAGUCUAUAAGUCUGUCUAUGAGAGGAAAAGGAAAGCUAUCCUUCGGGCAUCCUUUGUUUAGGUCGGUGUAAUCGACACACAUUCUUCACAAGACCUUUUGAAGCAGGAGACUUUCCUUGGUCGGAUUCUUCUUAACAAGGACAACAUUUGCUACCCACGUUGGAUAAUUGACUUCGCGGAUGAAGCCUAUGCCUUUGAGUUUUUCAACUUCUGCCUUCAUUACCUCGUACCGUUCAGCGUCAUAAGAUCUUUGCUUCUGUCUCACUGGCUUAGCUUGGGGUCAAUACUUAAGCGAUGACAGAUUAUAUCGGGAUAGAUGUUUGGCAUGUCCUCGUAUGACCAGGCGAAGACCUCAGUGUUCUCUUGCAAAAAAGAGAUCAAUGCCAACCGAAUGGGUGAUGAUAAGGUGGUACUAAUCAUCACCAUGUGAUCAGGAUAAUCUUUUGAGAUAGAGACCUUCUCCAACUCUUCAGCGGGUUGUGCUUGCUGGGUGAAAGAGUCAUCUCGAGGAUCGUCGGGUUGACUGUUGCCACCGUGAAGAUCCAAUUUCGCUUCGUCUGGGCUGGUCUUUAUGACUUGGUCAUGUAUAGAAAGGGUUUCCGUGGGCACAAGUAGGUGAUGUUGCUUGACCGAAGUGUUGUAACAUGAUCGUGCACUAAUUUGAUCUCCUUUGAUGUAACCAUUGCCAUAGGGGGUUGGAAAUUUCAUCAACAACAUAUGUGUGGAUACCAUGGCUUUGAGAUCAUUGAUGCAUUUGCGUCCGAAGAUGACAUUGUAUGCCAUUGGGCAAUCAACCACCAGGAAGUUAGUGGUAAUGGUAGCUGUGUAAAGGCUUGUACCAAUGGUGAAAGGUAAGUGUAUGCUCUCCAAAGGUUGCACGAUAUCACUGGAGAAGCUUAUCAGAGGGGAAAUCGAGCGGUCGAGCAAGUGUUCAGCUACAUUAAGUGCCCUGAAAGCUUCAGCAAACAUGAUAUUGACCGAAACCCCCGUGUCUACCAGGAUUCGUCGUACUUCAAAGUUGGCUAUGUGAGCUUCCACGAUCAGUGGGUUGUUGUGAGGGUAAAUGAUACCUCUUUCUUCCUCAGGGUAGAAACAUAUUGGAUCCUAGUUAGGCUUUUGAUACUUACCUCCCCUGAUGUCUUCCACGUGAAACACUUAGUGGCCAGACCUUAAAGCUCGUUCACUAUUUUUCAUGGCCCUGUUGGAAGAUUUAGAUAUGGGUGUGCCACCACUUAUGGAAUAUAUCACAUUUACCUGGCGUUGGUUACGGUUACCCCUUGGAGGGUGAAGGAGGAAUUGACCAAUUUUUCCUUCACGUGCCAAAGCUUCAAUAUGAUCACGAAGGGUGAUACACUUCUCGCCGUCAUGGCUGUUAUGCUCGUGGUAGCAGCAAAACGUGCACGUGUUCUUCGUGGGCUUGUAAUCCGGGUGCAUCGGCUUUGGCUUCGGUAUCAAGUAUGCUAUGCUGGGGUAAAUGGCCACGUAUGUGGCGUUCAAAGGUGUGUAUGCCUCAUACCUCGGGGUAGGGGCUGUCCUGACACGUGCUUGACCCACUGUGUUGAUUGCCUGGGGUUGGGGAUUAUCAUGGCGAUACCCUUGGUUAUCGCGGUAGUGUCCCUUACUCCUUUUACUAAAAUGAGACUGGUAAGGAUAGAAAUCUUUCCUUUUGCCCUAAGAUUGAUAUGUUUGUUGACUUGGCAAAGUAUUAAGUAAGGCAGGGGGAGGCACCGCUGCCGUUUGGAAGGUCGAGGUCUUCUCAUUUGGUUGGAUCUGGCUUCCACUCCCUACUUGUUGAUAAAGGGUGGUUGUGGGGGGUUUCCCUUGAUAUGUCAUUGCCUUGGCAAAUGCAUGGUUGUAAGCCUGUGCCAUCACCUCAGAGUAAGUCUUCCAAGUGUUGGCAUUGAUCAUGUACUUGAAGAAACAAUCACGUAGGCCUGCCGUGAAGGCCUUGAGGGUGGUAUUGUCAUCUGCCUCAGCGCAGUGAGAAUACUCAUGGCUGAAACGACCAGCAUACACUCGUAGUGACUCGUCCGGCUUCUGGUGAAUAGUGUACAAGUCAUAUGCAGAAUGCAAGCGAUCGGUCUGAAAUAUGUGUUGAGAGACAAACAGUUUCCUCAGUUCCUCAAAUGAAUCUACCGUCUUAGGUGGAAGACUGCAAUACCAGUUUAGAGCUCCGCCAGAGAGGGUAGAGGGGAAGAGAAGACAUCGCUAUUCGUCGGUGUGCAUCAAAUAUGCCAUGGUGGACUCAAAGAGGUUAAAGUGUUCAAUUGGGUCCUCCCUUCCAGUAUAGAGCCGUAAACCAAGCUUUUGUUUUGUCUUUGCUUGAAAGGGGGUGUCGAGGAUCCUCCUUGUGAAAGGGCUAGGCCUGGGUUGGUUCCAGUCAAGUAUCUUGGCUUGACAUUCGGUCUUCAACUUGUCUACUUCCUCAAGGAGCUGUAGGACAAUGGGGUUUUGAGUGGAGUCAUGUACCACUGGGAUUUUCUUUCGUAAGUCUCCAUCGCCUCUUGGAAGUAGGAAAGUUUGAGCAAGGGCAUGUGAUUUUUCCUUGGACUCGCCGUAUUGACUUCUAGGGCGAGUCUGUCGGAAUACCUCAGAGUCCCAUGUACCUUCAUGUUCCUCUAGGACAUGUCGUUCAUUCCCUAGAUUGGCAGCUGGCCUGGGUCGUGGGAGGGGACCGAGUCUUUCAGAAACCCUUGGAUCAUUGAUCUUCGAGCAUAUGUGGAGGGGAUUCUCUCGACAUUGCUUUAAGAAGUCUUGGCAAUCACGAUAAAUGGCUUUCGAUCCUUCCAACCCUUCUGCAAGGAGGUGUCUUCCUCCACUUCUCCUGCUUCAGGUCGAAGUAGCUGGGUUGAGAGAAGUCUCAUGUUGAUCAAUGUUUUGAUGUUUAGCUCGCUCCUAAUCAGGGAUACCCAGUCGAAGGAAUGUGACCCUCUGUGUUGGGGGGCACCCAGAUGAUGGUUGAUGUCCACAAGGGCAACAAGCUCGCCUGUUUGAGUACAUAUAGUUUCGUGGAGUGUCUCAAAGAUCUUCUCAUAUUGCUCUUGGAGGACCUCAUUCUUCAUUGAUAUCUUGUUGUUUUGAGCUUCUAGCUCAUCGACUUUAGCUUGAAGAGCAACCCUCUUUCCUUCAUUCUUUCGUUGCUUCGCACUAGGUGCAAGAGGGGUGUCAUUUGUGUAUUGUGGCUUCCUUCGCUCCCCAUGUUGAAAAGGGAUGCCUGGUCAAAAGAGAGUGUACGAAUGGUGGAAACCAGCUUGACAAAUCUGAAGAGAGUGGGAAUAAGUGUCGUUCCCACAGACGGCGCCAAAUGUUGAUGCACAAAAUCAGUGAGGAUUUUGGUACAACAGAAAAUGUUAAGUUUGUGACCUUCACUAGAUUGCUCCGGUCACUAGUGUGAAUAAGUAUGUAAAUGGAUAGGGACAGGGAAGCAAACACAAGAUGUACGUGGUUUAUCCAGAUUGGCUAUGUCCACGGAGUAGAGGAGUUCUCAUUAAUUGUGAAAGGUUUACACAAGUACAUAGGUUCAAGCUCUCCUUUAGUAAGUACUAGUGAAUGAUUUAGUACAAAUGACAUUAGGAAAUAUUGUGAGAGAAUGAUCUUUAUUUAUAGAAGAGAGUUUCUAGUUUCAUUCUGACUUUGACACAUGUCGUGUUGUGAUUGGCUUCUGAUGUUGACACGUGUCGCGCUAUGAUUGGCUUCUGAUGUCGACACUUGUCGUGCUGUGAUUGGCCUCCUGGUUGGAGGGAAACUCUUCUGGGUCUUUGACGGAAUAACGUUGACCGGUGCUUAGUAGUUUCGGGAUUGGUCAAGUAUGGUACAAACAAUCACCUAUCGCGGAUAUACCAAGCAUGAUCACCCCUAAUAGUCCCUCAUCGCGAAUAUACCAAGCAUGACUGUAUCAUAUAACUCUAGGUAGUGAUCACCCAUUGCAGAUAUACCAAGCAAGAUCACUCCUAGCAUACGUAUGGUCCCCCAUCGCGGAUAUACCAAGCAGGAUCAUCCAUGUACCACUACUACAUGGUACGGUCUCAUCAUCACACAUUAUACCCAAUUAUACGUAUACACGCUAUCGAUUCCACAUAUCAACUAACAUCUAGUCAUAUGGAGCACAUCACAAGGAAUUCCCCUAAUUACUAUUUCUACUAAAAAUCUAAUAAAGUACCUAACUCAUCUUCUGACUUUCAUCCCUAUCAUAUACUAGGUAGUAAUGCCAAGUUCAAAUAGGUAUUCAGUUGGCAAUCAUAUCCAAAUAAUUAUCAAACAAUAAUUAGAUCCCAUAAUUGUCAUAACAUUCAUCAUAAUUAUCAUUCACAUUAUUAAAAAGAUAAUUAAACAUGUUUGUACCAUACUUAGGGCCUCCGUAUCUAGACCUCGUAUGAAUACUCGGGGGACUCAAAUGUAAUUAUGUAAUAAAUGAAGGGGGCAAAUAUGUAAUAAGUGAGGAGCCCUUAUUCUAUAAAAGGACUCCUCACUCUCCUCACUCUCCUCAUUAAGGAGGCCAAUUCUUAGGCCAUGGGAAAGAGCUCUCUCACCCUCAGAAGCUCUCACCCUCUCAUUCUCUCACAAACACAGAAAUACAAUAUUAGUGUGGACGUAGCCCAAACAUUGGGGUGAACCACGAUACAUCUUGUGUUCUUUACUUUCUUGCAGAUUCACGGUCAGAUUUACGUUGUUCCAAGACCCCUUUGAUUUUGUGCAUCAACAAAACACAUAUGUAUCACAAACAUCAUCAGUACACAAGCCUAGUACAGCAAGCCCAAAAUAAUGGGCUGGAAUGUUAUGUGGAGGGCGAAGACCCAUAUGCCCAAAAGAGCCAGACCCUCUAUUAUCACCAACCAGGUGAUCAAAAGUACGUCCAGUACUACAAAAAAUUAAUCGGCAGCCUGCCGCUAUUACCACCAACCAGGUGAUCAAAAGUACGCCUAGUACUCCAAAAUUAUUCGGCAGCCUGCCGCUAUUAUCACCAACCAGGUGAUCAAAAGUACGACCAGUACUCCAAAAUUAUUUGGCAGCAUGCCGCUAUUAUCACCAACCAGGUGAUCAAAAGUACGUCCAGUACUCCAAAAUUAUACAUAAGCAUCAUUCAUGUCAAUCAUACAUAAACAUUCGUGAACAUCACUCAUGUCAAUCAUACAUAAACAUUCAUGACCAUCAUUCAUGUCAACAGUCAUGAGCAUCACUCAUGUUAACAUCUAUGAGCAUCACUCAUGUCAAUCAACAUAAACAUUCAUGAGCAUCACUCAUGUCAAUCAGCUUCGAAAGCUUCAUUUACAGAGCUUCAGCUUCAAAAAACUUCAUUUACAAAGCUCCAGCUUCAAAAGCUUCACUUGCAAAGCUUCACCUACAAAGCUUCAGUGCAGGGUAUACAAAUAUCGCCUCCGAACAAUUGCCACUUCGGCCCAUACAUGGAUUGAAUUUGAAGUCUCCAGCCAACAACCUUUAUUGAGUGAAGACUUGAAGGACUACACUAUGUACCAUAUAUUGGGCUUCCACAACUGGACCUCAUGAAAAAUACUUGGGGGACUCUAGCCCAUUAUUUAUGUACUGAGGAGCGAACCUUUAUUCUAUAAAAGGGACUCCCUCACUUUCAUUAGAGAGCAUCCAUUAUUCAUGUACUGAGGAGCGAACCCUUAUUUUAUAAAAGGGAUUCCCUCACUUUCAUUAGAGAGCACCCAUUAUUCAUGUACUGAGGAGCGAGCCCUUAUUUUAUAAAAGGGACUCCCUCACUUUCAUUAGAGAGCAUCGCCGUUUGCUGAGCAACUGCCUCGCCGCGAGCAUCGACUCUUAGCCCAUCACUUAUGUAUUGAGGAGCGAGCCCUUAUUCUAUAAAAGGGACUCCCUCACCAUCAUUAGAGAGCAUCGCCGCCUGCUGAGCAACUGCCUCGCCGCGAUCAUUAACUCUAACCCAUCAUUUAUGUAUUGAGGAGCGAGCCCUUAUUCUAUAAAAGGGACUCCCUCACCAUCAUUAGAGAGCAUCAACUCUAGCCCAUCAUUCAUGUAUUGAUGAGUGAGCCCUUAUUCUAUAAAAUGGACUCCCUCACCUUUAACGCCAUAAGCCGAGCCAACCAAGGCAACAUAAGCCACAAACCGAGCAGCCUCGCAACAUGUGCUACUUCUAGUUAAACAUCAUUUCAGAUUGAGCACCGCCUCAUAUCGAGUAUCAGUUCUAGACGACAUCUAGUUACUUCGGCCCACACAUGGACUAAAUUUCAAGUCUCCAGCCAAAAGACUAUCUUGGCUGAAGACUUGGGGGGACUACUGUUUGUACCAUACUUAGGGCCUCCGUAUCUAGACCUUGUAUGAAUACUCGGGGGACUCAAAUGUAAUUAUGUAAUAAAUGAAGGGGGCAAAUAUGUAAUAAGUGAGGAGCCCUUAUUUUAUAAAAGGACUCCUCGCUCUCCUCAUUAAGGAGGCCAAUUCUUAGGCCAUGGGAAAUAACUCUCUCACCCUCAGAAGCUCUCACCCUCUCAUCCUCUCACAAACAGAGAAAUACAAUAUCAGUGUGGACGUAGCCCAAACAUUGGGGUGAACCACGAUACAUCUUGUGUUCUUUACUUUCUUGCAGAUUCACGGUCGGAUUUACGUUGUUCCAAGACCCCUCCGGUUUUGUGCAUCAACAAAACACUUAUGUAUCACAAACACAUCAAUACACAAGCCAAAUCAUAUGUAAUAAGCAUAGGUCUAUGGCUAAAUAUAUAAAAAUCACAUUUCAAUAGAAAUCAUAUUUAUAAAACCAAAUCAUAUUCACAAAUGAUACCAAUAUAAGAAAUUAAGAUAAUAAUCAUAUCUCAUAUAUUCAUGUCACUAUGUAACCAAUAUAGGCCCACUAGACUUCAAUUAGUCUCGUAGUACUAAUUUUAUUAUUUAGAACGUUUCGAGACAUGUUGACCACAAGUCAACUCUCGGUCAACGAUAGGGUCCACAACUAUACGUAAUUUGAUCCUAAAGAUCCACACAUCGGAUUUCUGAUCCAUGACUUCCCAAAGUCACAUUAUGCUUUUAGAAUAACAUAUUAAAUUUCAUUAUGAUCCAACGGUUGGAUUGUCGUCAAUUACACAAACAAGUGGCUGUCCAAUUUGAUCACCACACCAAACAACUGAAUUUUGGGAAACCGAGCUAGACAUAGAUUCACAGGGUCACUAGAAUGUAUUUGGUACUUAGACAACACUCGUGGACGGUCCCACGCACCGCCACACACGGUGGUAGCCAAGGUGGAGGGUUUCGAAACCCCGAAUUUUCAACAUUAACUAAAUGAGCUCAAAUUUACAUGGUAGCUAGAGCUCAACAAGGGAAAUACUUUUCACAACUAGACCGACGAUAAAUUCUAACCGGAAACCAUCCAAAUUCACCGGAGAAAACUGGAUUUCUAGGGUUCUAAACACCCAUCUCUAAAAUGAAUACAAAAGCACGAACCAAGCAUAUCAACUUGAAUAUUAUGAAGAGUAGAUGAAGUUUCAUACCUCACUCGAAGGAAAUAGUUGCCGGAAUCACCGAAAAAAUGACAAAAUCGCCGGAAACCCACAGAACUUUGCUGUCUCAAACUGGAAAAAUGGAUAAGAAAAAUGGAAAAUCUAACACUAUAAAUAUGUAGGGCUCGUCAAGAGCUUUCCAUGGACACCAAGAUCACCCAAAAUGGAGCUCGGAUGAAGGAGAUACAAGCGGGUCAAGUUUGUAGGUUAACGGGUCUAAUUUGCCCCAAAACAGGUUAGCAGCAGCAGCCCCUUUUUUUUUUUUGGAAGAAACCUUCCCCCUUUUUAAUUUGAUUGGUCCUCCCUUCAACCUUACUUCUGAUUGGCCACAAAAGCACAUACCUUCUUGGGCUUUUUCCCUCAAAGUGAGAGUUUAAAUAAUUUCUAAAAUCUAUAGUUUAGUAACACAAUUCCAAACGUCUGUAACUAUACCGUUAUAAUCCGGACUCGCAAACGGCUUUCGCCUAUGCAUUCGUGGUUUCGAGAUAUAUUUGAAAAUAUAAAUUGUGACCUCCAAAGGUCUACGGAUUUUAAAUAAUUAAUUUCCAAACUUCAAACUUCGUAACUAGUUUAAUUGAAAUUUAAAUUCAAAUAAAUUAAUAUAAAUUCUCGAAAAAUAAUAUAAAAUCUCAAUAAUACAAAUACGUAGAUUAUAACAGUGAAAUCUAGGAAUGGGAUUUCACAAUUGUGAUCGACAUCUUAUUUACACCAUAUCGACAUUCUGUUAUUUAAUAAAGAAUAAAUGUCUUGCUUACAGAAUAACUGCCUCAUCAAGAUAUUACCAAACCAUGACAGUAAAAAUAACAUAAUAAAACUACAAGACAUUUUUCUUUAGGGUUGCAACAAAUCAAUAAAGCACAAUUGCAGUAAAAACUUGAUUUCCAAACUAAUUUACAAUAAGAAUGAAGGAGCCACAAGCAAAAUGGGUUUUCAAAAAUGCUGUUGGUGCAUUAUUCAGAGAUGUGACUGAUAAUUCAAAGACUGCCUGCUGUCUGCAGUCUAACACUGAAAUGGUAACCGGUCUUAAUAUGCACUGCACAAUCUAUAAAAGCAUAUUACACGAAACAAAGAAGGUUAUGGACCGCGAGGUGUGCUGAAACAGAAACAGCCGGUAGACUGGUCUUCGGGUAUCAUGCCGCCUCCCUUGCUAGUAUCUAUUGCAUACAACAUUUUCACUACCUCUUCCAUUUCAGGAAGAUUAUCCGGGUUUGCAUCCCAACAUUUUCGCAUGACGCUAGCCAAUGUGCUUGGACAACAUCUUGGAAUUUCUGGUCGUAAAUUCUGCCAUCCAAGCAUAAAAUAUUAGGACUACCAAUUGGUGAUCAACAUUGCUUAAAAGCCAAAGACAGACAAGUUUUGCUACAUCAGUUCCACUACUUCAAAACAAAUAUGCAGUAAAAUCUGAUAAAGAAAUUAAAGCAGUAUGUGCAACAACAAACCAACCUGUCGCACUACUGCAGAUGAGACAUCAGCAAAACUUAGAUUAGGAUAAGGCAUGUCGCAGCAAUAGAUUUCCCACAAGCAAAAACCAAAACUAUAGACAUCGCAUUUCCUGUCGUAUGGCUUGCCAUCAAGGAACUACAAAAACCUUGAUGUUAGAAUUCUAAUCCAAUUUGCAGCAAGGGGAAUCUAUUAUGUUUUUUAUUUAAUUAUUUAUUGGUUUAAAUUAUAUUUUCCUUAACGGGUAACGGGUCGGGUCAUAUUACCCGUUAAUAUUAUCGGGUCGAUUUUGGAUCGGGUCAUUUUACCCGUUUAUUUUAACGGGUGUUACACGACACGACCCGUUAAGAUAUCGGGUAUGACACGAAAACGACACGAACACGGAAAACACGACACAAAUGCCAAGUCUAGUUGGGAGUUCAUUAUUCAAUCAAAUAACACCGCCUUCUUACAUUCAAUCAAAAAAAUUUAUGUAGUUGUAAAUUUGUAUCUAUACUUAGGCAAACAAUCACAUGUAUUCUUUUGUGCAAUGAAGUAAACCCCUAAGUCUAAUAACAAUGAAAGUUUGAAAUCGGAGUUCAGCAUGCUAAAACCAUUCCCAAUAUAUGGAUUCAUUAACCAUCUAAUACACAGUCACUAUAGCAAAUUCUGCAAUACAACAAUCCCAAACGAGCCCUUGAUACUAUACUAAACAAUUAUAGAUGAUGGCUUACCGUCUAGGCGUCCACCAACUCAACAAACUGUAAAAUUUCUCAAUUCCGUUCCAUUUCUGGUGAAACCCAUUGACCACUAAACUAUGUUUUAAAGUCUCAAACAUGGAAAACUUAGGCAUGCAAACAAAUCCUGCACAUCACGAAAACUGCAACAACGAAAAAGAAUUAAAAACGAAUUGAAGCCUUCAGAGAAAUCAAAGUACCUGCAACAUCUUGGCUAUCGUAUGCACCGCGAUACACGGUGCCAUAGGUUCCAUGAGCAAUAACAUGUCUUAUAUCCAACUUUGCCAAAUCAAUCUCCCACUCUUCCACCUUUGCAUUCGCCUCCCUCUCCCUCUCCCAACCCCUACUCAAGUGCUUCUCCAACUGGAUAUCCCGCCAAAUCUCAAAUUGUCACUCCUUCACAAAAUAAAAAUAUUUCUUAAACCCCCGAAAACUUGAUUGAAACUUUGACAACGGAACUGAAAAAAUAUUAACGGCCCCCGAGAAUCUUGGAGCUGAAGAAUCACACCAAAUCGAGAAAAAAAAUGGGAUAGGAAAAAAGGAAGAAAAAAAUAUAGAAAAAUAGAGUUUUGGGUAUUAAACUCGAGUGAGAGAGCCAUUAGAAAGAGUGAAUAGAAUCGUGAAAAGAAAAGGUCAAACAAAGAAAAUAAUACAUAGGAAAAUUUACGCGUGGGUUAGAGCAGUAAAUUUAUGGGUCAGCAGCAAGUUAAUCAUUAAAUUCGUUCUCCCCUAAAUUCAACCAAAAUGAAAACAAAAACAAUAUUUGGAACAGGGGUCAAGAACUCAAAAUCCCUAAUUCUUGAAUACCUUAAAACUGAGGAUUCGGAACACAGAUAGUGGUCAGGAGUGCUCGAGUUGAGAAAAUAUGAUGGUGGUGGUUGGACGGACGAACGGAGCUCUGCGCUGCGAAUUUGGGUCUGAGAGUCCAGAGUCCAAGUCGAGUCGAGAGACAGAUAAUCGAGGUGAGAGAGACAGACCGAGAGUGGGAGUUGUGAGAGAAGUGGGAAGUCAACGGUGCAGGUCCAAGUCUCGUUUGCCCACCCGAUACGGUAUUACAAUUGUUUUGGCCAGACAAACCUCCACUUAAUAUGGAGUUGGUGGGAGAUGAUGGGAAACUUUUGCUCAUUUGGCUCAUUUAACCAGAAUUUAAUCAGAUUUGGUCUUCGAAUUUUUCUGAAUUGCUAAAGGAUUUAUUUUCUUCGGAAAUUUCAGAAACUCAGGUUUUGGAAGGAAGAAGCUGGUUCCUUACCAUUUUUAGGUAUAUAAUUAUGUGCCCUGAUUGCAUGUUCACAACCUAUUUAGUUAUAUGAAAUUUUUAUUUAUUUUUCUAAAGCUUUCAUGUUUGGAUUUUAAAUAUGCAAUUGGUAUAAAUGCAAAAUAUAAUCAUGGGGCAUUCUUAUUUUUGGAUUUUCUCUUCUGCAUUUUCUCUUGCAUUUUCUCUUCUAUCCUUUGUAUGUUUGCAGUUAGAUCAAUGGGUUCAAACCUUUGAACUAAAAUUUGUUUGACAGCCUUGCAAGUGUUUCGCUUUUGGGUGCUCUUUAAUGUGUGCACUUUCUUUUGUUUAUCUAGAUUAGUGUUUUUCCAGCACUUUUAAUCGUUGCAGUUCACAAAGUUCUUAUUGAUCUUGAAUUGUUAUUUUUAAUUUAUCUUUGUUGGGUAGACGACAUGUACUGUGGGUUUCGGUGAUUAGGGAAUAUUUUGAGCUUCAUUACUAUUUUAAUGUUUAGGUAAAACUAGAAACUUCAACCCGUGCUCUGCUGCGGGAUUGAAAAUUGUAUGAAAGAUUAUGUUUGAAAGAUAAGAGAACAAUUCAUCAAUUGUGCAAUAGAAAACAUAGCAUUAGAACACAUCCAACAGAGGAAAAAAAAUUACAACAAACCUUCAUUAACUGUCGAUGGAAUACUAACAACAAAAAAUUUCUUUGUUUUGAAAUCAUUGCCAAAGAUUUUCAAACUCACGAUCAUUAAGCACGGGAUCAUCUGGAAAAGGAAGGAGCAGUCAUCAUUCCUUCUGAGUCUCAUAAGUUGUGCCCACUGCAAUAGGUGUCCCUAAAGCAGCACAUAAUUAUGUAAGCAAAAAAAAAAAAAUUCAUAAAAGACCAUUGAAAUCAAUUUUCGAAAUACAAACAAUUAAGAAGAUUAAACCUGAAUCAAAUGACACUAUUCGAUAAAAAUAAACUCAAUAUUUACUAAAUGAAUGUAUAACUUGUAUUGUAUAAUAUGCCUACUUCAUAUAAUUGCUAAUAAAAGGAACAAGUCCUUAUCCAUAUGGAUAUUAUAAAGAAAAUCAAUUCCAUAGUAUGUCCAUUGCUAAUAAAAUAAAUGUCCAAAGUCAUUAUGUGGGUACUAACGAUACUAAUACGACAAAUGUCUAGUUGUUAAUAUUGUUUGAUAUAAGCCUACUAAGUAAAAACAUUUAAAUAACACAAAGAGGCAAACUUUUCACAUUCUCACCAAGGUUCUAAAAAAUGCUAGGCGCUAGUCGGGCGGCGGGCUAGCGCCUAGCACCUAGGCGGAUUUAGUUAAUUUCUUGUAAAUAAGUGUAUAUUGACACUUACAAAAAAUUAUACUUGUAUGAAAUCUAAGAAUAAGAUAAUACAAGAACAAUAAAAUGAAAAAAGAGUAUCCAACAAGUCCAAAAUUUUAAAAACAUAUUAAGCAUAUAUGCCAUAUAACCAUAGUGAGGAGUAUUGUAGGAUGACACAUGUACAACAAGUUCACAAUUUAAAACCACAUAAAAUGCAAAAUAGGAGGAAAAUAAGGAAAUAUAGUAAUUGUCUUUAACAUCCAAGAAUUUAAGUUGAUACACACCUAUUCUAUAAAAUUAACAAAAUUUCAAGGUAUAAACAUAGGUGCAUGUAGGGAACAGGAACUUAGAAAGUUAGAAUAAAGAUAUGAUUUUUUUUUUUCAAUUUCAAAAUAAAAAAGAAAAAAAAAGAAAAAAAAAGCCUAGCUCUGCCUAGAGCCCAUCCGCUUUUUCCCACCGUUUUGCAAUAAAACGCCUCGGCCACCCUCCGCCUAGCGCCUAGGCGGCCGUCUAGGCCGUUUUUUAGAACACUGAUUCUCACACACCCAACAAAAGCCUGAUUUAACGGAAGAAAAAUCUCACAAGGAUAGAAAAAACAAGUGCAGCUUUCCAAUUCAAGAUUAUUAUACAUAUUUAUAUUUAUUUAUUAUUUACACUAAAACAGGGUGUACUGUUGACCAUUCUCUUUUUCAUCACUUUGUAAUGAUAACAACCACCACUAUUACAUCUCACAAUACAUAAAGAUUUGAUUGUUUAUUUAAAGUAUUUGUUGGCUUUUAAAAAUAAGAGAACUAAUGAAAAGGGUUUGAAAAGUUUUAGUUUUAAUAAAAAACCAUGUUAUAAGUUUUGUUUAAUGAUUAGUACAAGACCCAUAUUAAAGUAGUCCAACGAAAAAUAGUCCAACUAUAAUAAAUUAUGAUUUGUCGAUUUUAUCCCUAACUUUUUUAAGUUGAUUCCAGAUUUUCGUCGUUAAUGGAGUUCAUCGUUGUUUUGCAAACCUUCUUCUUUUUCUUUGAAACAAAAAUAUAGAUCAUCAUGUUAUUUAAUUUAUAUUUUGUAUUAUUUCGUUGAAAUGUGAUUGUCGUUAUUAUUCAUAGUGUAUUCGAGGUAUCGUUUUUCAAUUUUUCAUCGCCAGUGGAGUUCAUCGUUUGUUUCUCUAGAAAAUAAAUUUGAAAUCUGCAUGCUAUUCAAUAAUAAUGACGGGUCACUGUUUCUGGAUUUUAAGUAACACUGUUUCUGGAAUCUAAGUUACUGUUUAUGGAAUCUAAAUCAUUGUUUAUGGAAUCUAAAUCAUUGUUUCUUAAAUGUAAGCUAGAAAAGAAAUAGAGAAAUUCACUAUAUUUGGAUUCAAAGCAAAAUAAACACCAUAUUUCUUAAAUAUAAUCAAUUGAUGCAUGAAAGAAAAGAAACAGUCAAAGAUUAAAACAUAGACUAUUUCUGAAAUUAAAUCACUGUUUUUGAAAUCUAAGUCAUUAUUUCUGGAAUUUAAGUCACUGUUUCUGGAAUCAAAUCAUUGUUUCUGGAAUCUAAGUCACUGUUUCUAAAAUUUAAGUCACUAUUUCUAGAAUUUAAGUCACUGUUUCUGGAUUUUGGUUCUUUUCUUUCCAGAUAUAGUGUUUGUGCACAAACAAAACAAACACUAUAUCUGAGUUUUUUUUUUUGUUCAAAAACAGUGUUAUGUUUUUUAUUCUCCAGAAACAGUUUUAUGUUUUGGUUUUUUUUUUUCCAAGACAUUUUUUCGCCGGUUUUUGCUAUUAAACUUCUUUGAACUUGUUUCAACUGCUUUGUUCCAAUGAAUGCUUCAUUUUUUCAACUUUGAUUUGAACUUUGAUUUGGUUGUUUUUGAAAUGAGGGAAUUACUGGGCAAUUGGCAGUUAGAUGAUGAAGAUGAUCCCCUGCAGCGGGGACAUGAUUCUGCUGCAAAUGACAAUGGCCAAUCAUUAAGAAAGAAGAAGAAAGCUUCAUUUAAAGAGAAGUCAAGUAAGAAAGGAAAAGAAAAUGGGGAGGUGGGGAAGAAGAUCAUAUAUGAAGAAAAUGGCUCAAGGAGAGAGAAGAGCAGGCAUGAGGAAAGUGGCUCAAGGAAAGACGAAGGGAAAAAGAAGAUGAGGCGGAGACAUUCCCAAGAUAGUGCCAAUAAGUAGGGUGUUUUGUCUACAUGGAGAAAAAGUAGAUGAUAAAAAAAAAGACCAAAUAAUUUCUUUAUUAGCCAACUUGUCUAGUCUCCCACCCAUCCCCAGAUGAAUGAACACGUGUAUAUUCUACCUUUCCUUUCCUAGAUGACCCACACGUGUACAUCUAGAUUAUUCCCUUCUCAGAGAGACAAAAACCAAGCAGAAGACUAAAGAGCGAAAAGACCAAAGAAACAAAAAAGGGGUAAAAACGGAAUCACAUUGUACAAUCAACAGUAACUAAAGAAAUAACAGUUGUACAAUCAAUGUAAUUUCAUCAAAUUCUAAUCCAUACGAUCACUUGUGUACCUAAAAACUGAUGACUCUUGACAACAGCACAUAACAAAUACUUGGAAAAACGAAGUUAUGUGCUUAAAGGCUUCGUUUUAAAAGAUGGAGAAGGGUAGAGGAGCUUUACCCAAGGAAUUUUCGUGCCUCCGCUCAACCUUUUUACACACCCUAAAAAAUACUUGAAAUUCGAUCCCCUACUACAACACACGCAAAAAAAAUAGCAAACUAAUAAACUUAAUUAUAUAUGAUCAUUUCACCACAUAAUUCAAAUUAAUUGGUGAAAAAAUUAAUUAAUUAAACUGAGUUAAAAAUUAAAUAUAAAUACCAAUAAUAAUUGUGAUUGUCCAUUUUUUGCUCCCUGGACUUUCCACUUGGAGUUAAAGAUAGCACGAAACCACAAAAAAAAAAAAAACUUCAAUUUCUGAGACCAGAGCACAAAACCAAGCAAACACCGCCAGCUGCAACAGAAACAACACGGUAAAAUAGAGUUUUAGAGAGAAAAAACAAAGGACUUUAAUUUUAGGAAGACUUUGGAUGCGGUCCUUAGCUAUGAAUAUUCUUUGUGACACACCCCGACCGAGAUCAAGGUAUGCUGGUCGUCACAUGAGAGUGACGUAGAUAUGUGCACAGUGCGGAAGCAAUUAAGGUAAGAAAUAUUCGAGUAAAUAAAAACCAAAGUUACUAAAGUGCACUAAUAAACUAGAGGUGUUAGAAGUGAGAUACAAAAGUAAAUACUCCUAAGCAGAGCAUAUAAAGUUUAGGUGCAGUCCAGUAGGACAAGUACUAAUUAUACAGUACCAUAAGAUGUCCUACAAUUAUUUUAAUAUGCUAGAAUUGCCAAAGUCAUCAAAGCCACCAACAGCAAGCUUACCUAAAACCUGGAGGGACGCAAAACAAAAAAUGUGAGUGGGCAAAAACAAAUGUUUUACAAAACCAUUUCAUUUCUCAAUAUUUCUAAUCCCUUGCCAUAAAACAUGUAUAAUUUUCCCAGAAUUAGAAUAUAAGCAUAUGCAUAUAUAUAUAUCAAUUCAAAUCAUGCCUCAUAUAAUCAUAUUCAUAAGUAUGCCAUGCCAAAACGUAAAAUGAAAUAAGUAAUUCAGGUGAGAAUAAUUUCAUGGAAGGUAUCAUAUUAGCCGGAACCCUUGCAUAAGUCUGUACGGCUGAAUUCAUAGCUCAUUAGUCAAUCUAGCCGGAGUCACUACUAUGACAUAUACGGCACUACACCGCACAUAAGUCGGAACCACUAAAAAGGGAUCUGUACGACAAGAUUAAGUGUAAUAUAAUUAUGCUCAAUUAUACUCUCUCAUGCUAGCUGGACGAUAAUUCGCUAGUCACCUACGAGUCGGAACGAUAGUAAAGGUCUGUACGACAAGAAUGUGCACCUAAAUUGGAUCCAAUGUGAGCAUAUGGUGUGGGAGGUGACAUAAUAAUAACAGGCAUGUGCCAUAUCUCUGGCUAAUCAUUAACACCCUAGGUGCAGGUUUAUGAGCUUAAUACUUCUCAAAUAAUCACAACCGUUAUUCACAUUCAUAAUUCAUAACUCACCUGGGCUUACCUGAGCGUCCACAUCACCACAAUUAUAUAUAUGCAUCAUGUACUAAUUCAUAUACCAAAUAUAAAUUUAUAUGCAUGGCAUUCAAGGCAUACUUCAUUUAAACGUAUUUUUCUAGGAAAUUAUCAAGUAUAUAAGUAUAUAUUGAAAACCAAAAGCCCACUCACUGGUAUGUCGAAGGAUCGUAGCCCUCGAGUCGCCCUUGAACGCGGUCGUCAUCGGGAUAAGUCUCGCCUGUAUGCGAAUUAACUAUAAAAACGUUAUUUAAAGUACAUAGACAAAACUAACUAAUAACUUCUCAUACAAUGCUCAAAUGAGAUGUUUGAAUAUACCAAUGUGAUCUACAUAACUCCACGAACAUCCCCAUAUUUUUAGAAAAAAUUUCCGACCACCCACUCGAGAGCACGUGCCUGGCACACUAACGGUGGCAGUAACGGCGUUAGAGAAUAUUCCGUCUAAAACUAACAGCGUCACCUUACGCCGUUAGCAUAUUCUGUCAAAACUGACGGAAUAUACCCCUUCUUCCCCGACGAGUCACCAGACGUCGGCGAUUGUUCGCCGGUUUCUGGAAAAACUUCUAACCCUUAUUUCUCCUUCAUUUCAACACCAAACUUAAUGAAAUUUGAACCAUUUUGAAGAUCUCACCAAGACGAAUCAAACCGUACUUGAGUUGAGCCUUGAACUUGCCGGAAACUCGCCGGAAAAAGCCUCGAUAAUCCGGCCAAACUUAAAACUCAUCGUUCUCGCUAUUCCGACGUCCAAAAUCAUCCAAUGAACCACUCCUAGACUCGUGAAGACCUCCUUAAGCUACCUAUAAGCUUGAAAUCCACAAAAACAUGAGAUUUUACGUUUGCAUGAAUAAUACCUCAAAUCGGAGGUUAUGGUUUCUCGGGUUUUUCACGGUUUCAAGUCCUAAAAAUGACAUAUAUGAACUCAGGGACAAGCAAGGAGUUCAAAUCUUACCUUCUUAACGUCAAUCCAUGCUUGAAGUGCGAGUAUGGUGUUCGUCCGUACGUGAGGGAAGGAGAGAGAGAGGGUCCAAGAGAGAGAGAGCACGGGAGAGAAGAGAGAGAAGGAAUUUGUGUGUGUGUGUGUGGUCCACGUGGUCACCAACCAAAACCACAAAACCAAAUUCCAAUUUUUGUUCCAAAGAUUAGGGAAAUACAAGUUUGGACCAAUACUUACAUAUAUAAUACACCACAACGCUCAUAUCCGAGGGUAAAAUAGUCAAUUCAUGUCCUCGAUAAUUUAUUUCGGGACGGGCUGUGACACUUUGAUUAAAACCUUGUUGGUUUUUAAUUUUUUAUCAAGGACCCUGAAAUUAAUAUGAUAAUUUAUUUCUACGUACGUUACUAUAUUUUUUAAAUUAAAAAUUAGAAAUUUUAGUUGUUUAUAUAAAUGAGAUUUCAAAUAAAAAACCAUAAUUUGUGGGAUUAAAAAUAUUAAAAUAUAAAUAUACUAUUGUGUGUGUAUAUAUAUAAACAUGGGUACAUUCAUCAAAAUUAACCAAAAAAAUUAUUGUAUCAAAACAUGGGUACAUUCUUCAAAAUCACAAAAAAAAAAAGAUAUUAGGCUUAAUAACAUUAAUAAAUUUCUUCGAUUAAACUUGACAUGGAUACAUUUUAAAAUCAAAGAAAAAAGAAUUAAUGUACCCAUAUAAGUUUAAAAAUGAAUUAGAAAAAAAUUGAAUAGAUUUUAUAUAAAAAGGGGUACAUUUUACAUAUAACAAAUUGAAAUAUUUAAGAAUGAGUACAUUUUAAGAUUAAAAAGUUUUACAUGAACGGGUACAUAUAAUUAGCAUGGGUACAUUUAGCAAAAAAAAAAGUACAAAUAUAAAAAAAAUAUGGGUACAAAUACAAAUAAACUUUAAAAACUAUGGGCACAAAAAGAAAUUAAUAUAUGGGUACAAAUUAAAACUGAAAAGAAAAUUGGUACAAAUUAAAAAAGAAUUACAAAUAAAAAAUGGGUACAAACUAAAACUAAAAAUAUAUGAUAAAAAAAUUUAGUCAUAAAUAUAAAUAUACUAAUUGUAAUAUUUUUAACAUUAAAUGAAUAUAUUUAGAAAUAAAAAAAAUAUUUUAUUAUUGAAAUAAUUAAUGAUGUUAGUAAUACCUAAGGACUUUGAUCAAAAAUUGAAAAAUGAAGGAUGAGAACCUAAUUUUUCCGUAAUUUUACAUCAAUCGAGGAAGAUUUCCUAAAACGAAAAAUCGAAUUAGAUGGAACAGCCACACACAAAUCAUCAAAAAAAAAAAAAAGAAGAAAAGAUUUGAAAGAAAAAACAUUCAGAGACCUUAAUCAGAAGGGGUUUGCAAGGUUGUACACAAAAACCCUCAAAUUCGCACACCAAUUUUCCUAAAAAAAAAAAAACCCAAUCAGAUUAAACAACCGUCCAAAUUCCAACCUUUUUCUUCAUCUAAAUCUUCAUCUGAUGGUUGCAGGCUGUCAAAUUGCAAAUCAGAAUGCUUUGAUGGUUCACAGUGAGAAAUAGUCUGUGUUGGAAGCUCUACUGACAGUUUUUGCAUCUUCCUUGGAUGAGAAGAGAGACCCACACGGAGAGAGAGGUAGAGGUGGUGUAUUUGAUUGUGGGCACAGGCAGAGAGGAAAUGGUAUAAAAAAAUUAGAGGGAUAAUUAGGAUGUCUCUUCCAUGUGGGUACCUUUUUACUUUUGAGAUUUUUGAGAGAGAGUGGAAUGAGAGGGACUCCCUUCCAUCCCAGAUGAUCAACACGCGUACCUUUAACCUCUUUUCCUUCCUAGAUGAUCCACACGUGUACAUCCAGAUCUUUCCCUUCCUAGGGAGACAAAAAUGAAGCAGAAGAGUGAGAGUCGAGAAGAGGCAAAAUCAAAAUUAUAUAAAAAAUUUAGAGAGAUGUCUGUUGUGGCAGAAACGAAGUAAACAAAACCAAGAAGGGACAAAAUUGGAAGAGUCUAGUUUCUGAAGCCUCCUUCAGGCAGAAGUGGAAUGAAAGAAAGAAGCAAGGGUAAAAGUGCAAGUACAAUGUACAAUAAACAGUGUCCACAGAAACAAAAUAAGGGUAAAAAGGGAAACACACUGGCGAAGGAACAGUGAAAAUGACACAAACGAAAUUAACUGAAAAGUUACUCAUUUAGUGUGUGUGUACAUAUAUAUAUAUAUAUAUAUAUAUAUAUAUAUAUAUAUAUAUAUAUAUAUAUAUAUAUAUAUAUAUAUAUAUAUAUAUAUAUAUAUAUAUAUAUAAUUUUGAGAUUCAUUAAUAGGAUUUUUGUGGCUAAGACUCUUUAGCUAAAUUCGUAACUAUUUGGUGUUUGGAGUCCAAUGGAUUGGUAUCUAUAUCUUACAAAAAUGUUGGCCAAGACAUAUGUUAGCUUUCAUUCUGUUUUUUUUUUUCAUUUUCAUUUCUUAUAUCUAGCUUUUGCUUUUGAUGCAUAGUUUGAAAGCUUCUGGAUCAUAAUAUGAAUUUCGGUGUGUGAGUGUGUGCAAUGUGUGUGCAGUCAGUGUUUGUGCAUUUCCAAUUCUCAAGUGUGAUGAUAUUGCCUAAACAUGUAGAUUUUACACUGCUUUUGUGCCAUGCAGUACCGACAUUCUAUGUGGCCUCUUAGCUAAUGAUACUAUCACAUUAUAUGAACAUUAAUUAGUCAACUUUCAGACAUUGCUCCAAACUCUUUCUUCAUUUAUUGAUGCUCCUACAGUUCCUAAUCUUCCACCUCACGUGUUUGGCUGUGUGGCCUUCGUUCAUCUUCAUAAACAACAAAGAAGUAAGCUUGAACCUCGGCCUUACGGUGUGUGUUUGUGGGGUAUGCCUCAAAUCAAAAGGGGUAUCGUUGUUAUCACCCUCCAAUGAAAAAAUUGUUUGUCAUUAUGGAUGUUAUCUUUCAUGAGAAUGACAUACACUUUUCCAAUCUCGAGUCUUCACUUCAGGGGGAGAAUCAGAUAAAAGUUCAAACUCUUGAUUAUACCAUUCCAAAUAUAGAUAGUGUGAAUGAUUUGGAUUUAAGUGGUGAUGUCUUGGAAAUAAGUGGUGAUCAUUCACACGAAAAUAAUGAUGUCUGUGAAACCCGUCCCAAACUAUGUAAUUUUAUAUUCACGAAUUUAUAAAAUUACCAGCUUGCCUUCUAUCAUUUACCCAAUCCAUUCCUUUUUGGAUUUUCUCCAAAUUCUUCCCUUUUCUCUAGCUGCCACGUGGCAGCUCCCCCACACCCAUCUUUUUCUCUCUUCUCUCCCUUGAGCUCUCUCUCAGCUCACUCUCUCUCUAGCACAAACUCUCUAUCCCUCUCCCUGAUUUACAUACACGCCUAUAUACGCCCAAAAACGAAGAAAUCGACAGCGACGACGACACCACAAACCACUAAGUGAGUCUCUCUCUCUUCCCUUCCUCUAUGAAGCCCAAGAAACCCAGAAAGUUCCUCCAGUGAGCCCUGUGGCUUUCUAGCCAAAAUCUGGCUGACUCAGGCCACCUCACGACGUGUAUUUGGUAUGAAACUCUUCCUCUCAUCUUGCACUUCAUUUUGGUACUUAGAUCGUACCCUAAGGUUGAGUACCGGAGUUAAACAAAGCUUAGGAAGCUUCAACCUUCUUUUCUGUCGAAACCUAGUCAAACGACCCAAACCCGAAAGCCCAAAAUCCCUUGAACCUAGAUUUCUUUUGGGCCGGGCUACUAGCCCAAAACCCUAAGGCCCAGCCCAAAACCCCAAUUAAACCUUUAGAACCCAAACCCAAAAGCCCUUUGAACCCAAACCAUUGGGCUUGCGGCUCAUUGAAACCAAGCCCAAAUCCCUUUCAUAGCCCAGCCCAAAACCCAAGUGACCCCAGGCCUUUGGGUUAUGCAAGCUUGGGCCUUCGGCCCAAGGAAUCCAAGCAUAGAAACCCUUUAGGCCUAAGCCUAAACCCGGUCCAACCCAGAACCCUGGCCGCGCGUGGGCCUGCGCAUGGGCCCACGUGAGGCCAAGCCAGUGCCAACACGUGGAGCACACAAUCUGCCGUCCAUGAUGACACCGGUGACUUUUUCAGCCAAUUUUCUGGCGAUCUAUGGCAGCACGUGGGGGUACCCUAGGUCUCCCUUUACGUGUUUCGACAUCUUGAAUCCGUUUAUAAUGUUCUUUUUUCGAAAUUCAAUCAUUAUGAUUGAGUUUUAUAAAUUGGACCCUUUAUGUGCUUAGGUGUGUUUAUUAGCGGCAUUUCCAUCAUUCCUAUUUCGCACGGCUCUUCAAAGACGAAGUAUCUGUAAGUGAACCCCUUCUAAAAUGCAUGUUUUAAUAGUAAAAAUGCAUACAUGAAAAUCAUGAUUUAAUGGUUACAUUUUAUGAAACGUGUUAUGAGUAAAUUAGAUUUAUACUUUAUGAUUAUCAUGCUUUACUGAGAAUAUUUUGGAAUACCAUACUUUAUCAAAUUUAUGUUCUCUAUAGUAUAUAUGAUGGAUGACUAUAUACUAUGAAGAUGCUUUGAUAUAUAUAUGUACUUAUGUUGGAAAGACUAUAUUCAAUGGUUUUGUGCUUAUCUAGUGGUCAUUGUUCUGCCUAUGGGUGAUGAUACAUACAUAUAUUGGCUUCGGUUGGGUGAUGUAGUGGUCUAUGGGACAGAAGAUAUUUAUUUGGCCUACGGGUCAUAAGAUAUUCAUAUAUUUUGGCCUACGGGUCAGGUGAUGUAGUGGCUUUGGUCGAUUAUGAUACCACUAUUUAGCACAUUAUAUACGAUAUACGUUUUAUGAAACGUUUUAUGGCAUGCUAGGGUUUUCGGAAAAACCUAAUACAUAUUAUACUAUUGAGUUUUCAUGAAACUUUAGGGGUUAGUACGUUGAUGAAUAAUUGUUUCAAUUAUAUAUAUAUCAACUUGGUCCACUUAUAUUUGUUUUGCAUCCCCUCAAGACAUAAGAACGAGGCAUAUGAUCCGAGCUACGAGGCAUUCCCCAACUAGUGACAUCGUGUGAUCCUCUCUGUUUUGACAUCAUUGUAAUAGCACAUUUCGCUUGUAUUCUGAAUUAGAUGUAUGCUCUGAACAUGUCAUGCAUUAUCACUAUCAUUUUAUUAAAGUUUGAAUAUUAUUAUAUUAUUCUCUGCAUGUGCAUUCAUUAAAUGGCUUGUAUCACCCUCGGGUGUUGGUCAGCAUGUGGUCAUCCCGAUGUCCCUCGAACAUCGGGAACAUACCUUAUCAAUGUGAAUGACUUGGAACUAAGUGGUAAUUUCUUGGAGACAAAUGGUGAUCAUUCACAUGGAAACAAUGUUGAAAACUUUGAAAGGGACGACUCGACAUUGCCAGAUAACUCACUACCUGAUAGCUCACAAUCAGUUUCCUCACCACCGGACAGUCAUGUGUCACCAGCUACCUCACAGUCGAUCUUGAGUCCCAAUAACCAUAAUCAAUCAUUUUCGAUCCCUGAUGCACCACCACCAUGUCGUCUCCCUGAUCGCGUCAACCGAGGUGUUCCUAAACUUACUUAUGAAGCCGACCCUAAAUGCAAAACUAGGUAUCCGAUGAGUAAGCCUAACCAUGAGUCUAAUGUGUUAUACCCGUCAAGUAAUUAUAUGUCUAUCAGUCACCUGUCAGAAUCAAAUAAGUCAUUUGUGCAUCAAUUAUCUAUUGUAUCUAUUCCUAACAAUGUGCAAGAGGCUUUAACUGAUCCACGUUAGAAAGCAUCAAUGAAUGAAGAGUUGAAGUAUUUGAAGAAGAAUGCUACAUGGGAGAUCAUAGACUUGCCAGCUGGCAAGAAACCUGUGGGAUGCAAAUGGGUUUAUACGAUGAAGUACAAAGCUGAUGGGAUGGUGGAUCGCUUCAAGGCAAGACUAGUAGCAAAAGGAUGCACUAAAAAAAAUAUGGAAUUGACUAGACAAAUACAUUUGCCCCUAUGACCAAGAUCAAUACAGUUCGUGUUUUGUUGUCCUUGGUUGCAAAUCUUAAUUGGCUGUUACAGUAGUUCGAUGUGAAGAAUGCCUUCUUGCAUAGGGAUUUGACAUAAGAGAUUUACAUGGAACUCCCACCAGGGAGUAACGUUCCAGAUAUGCAUAGACAAAAGGUGUGCAAGCUUCGAAAAUCAUUGUAUGGGUUAAAGUACUCCCUAAGAGCAUGGUUCGAUAGAUUUACCAAGUCUAUGAGAGCAUUUGGAUAUAAGCAAAGUAACUGUGAUCACACACUAUUCUUGAAAUGUUGGAAUGGAAAGCUUACAACACUCAUUGUAUAUGUGGAUGACAUGGUAGUUACCGGUAAUGAUCUGGAUGAGAGUGUAGCCUUGAAGAAAUAUUUGAGUACAAAAUUUGAGAUGAAGGAUCUUGGGUAUCUGAAAUAUUUUCUUGAGAUUGAGGUAUCAAGUAGCAAGUCAUGAAUCUUCCUGUCACAGAUAAAGUAUAUUCUUGACUUGUUAUAAGAAACUGGCAUGUCAGCAUGCAAACCCGUGACUACUCCGUUGGCAAAAGGAAUGAAGCUAAGCAUUGAUCUAAACCAAGUACUGGUAGAUAAAGGAAGGUAUCAACGGUUAGUGGGAAGAUUAAUGUAUUUGGCAUAUAUAUACUAGACCAGACCUUGCUCAUGCCUUGAGUGUCGUUAGUCAAUACAUGCAUGAUCCAGGAGAACAACACAUGAACGCAUUUUUAAGAAUAUUGAGUUAUUUGAAAGGAAGUCCGGGGAAAAGGAUUUUAUUUAAGAAGAAUGGUUAUUUUAGUAUUGAAGGUUAUACGGAUGCUGACUACUCGCUCAAUUUUGCCACGGGAAAGUCGGCAUCUGAUCUUGGAGGAGGAGGACAACUUUAUGAUCCAUUCUCGCCCAAUUCCGCAAGUCAUUAGCAGGGAGGUAAUUCGGGAAAGAUGUGGAAGCAAGAGAAUGAUCUAUUUACUACUAUUAUUAUUUCUUAUACAAGCAACAAUGCGGAAGGGGUAUUCGACGAUAAAACCUGAGGUACAAGAGUAAAAACAUUCUUUUACCCACUUGAACAAUAAGCCCCUUGCCUUUCCAUUUCCUUGUUAAUUGCCUAAUUCUCGACACAUUAAAUUAAAUGCACUACUCGCUUACAAGUCGCAAAUUGCUAAAAUAAAAUAAACUGGGAUAGGAAAACGGUGAACAUCCAUCAUAGGGAGGAAUUACAAAAGUUCAGGUUUAAGUGGCCUCGUUAAAAUCUUGAUCGGAGAAAACCCAGUGGGAAAAACUCCAAACUUAGAAAAGAGUACCACAGUUAUAUUACAAAUCUGGAGAGCUCAUACACUAGAGUUGUGAGCAGCACGGGAGAAGAAACCUUGGCCUAGAAAUAGGCAUGGUUGUCUUUAGAGAAUCGCUCUCAAUGCAAACACAAAACCAGCCCUACAGUAGUUUGUCAGCCAAAUCUCAAAUGAAUGCCUCUUAAAACAGUCACUCCUGAAACCCCAAAAUCUUGAGGACACAAAUAAAAAAAAAACUUAAAACAUUUUACCAACUUGAGGAAUAUUGUGGAUUACUUUAAUUACGAGAAUAAAGACGAUUAACAAUACUAUUGAGAAGAUGAUACCUGGACCUGGAGACUGGGAUCGAAUCGACUAUCAGCUUCACAUCAUCUUAAAAUCUCUCUAUGCUAUGUAAGGGAUGUGGGAUACUUUGUGCCAGUAGCGUCCUUUUCCUCGUUCGCGUCUCUCUUUUAGCACAGGACACCCAGAGAUAAGAAGUUGUGUAAGUGAAGGAGGAAGACCCUCAUCUGGAAUGGAUGCUAGCUGUGGACAACUGGAGAGAUGCAGAGAUUCAAGAAACGUUAGGGAUUGAAAGCCCUUGCUACUCAGUUUCUUCAGAUUCGGGAAACCACAAAUUAAUAGUCCAGUAAGAGAUUUGGGGAGGAGCGGCUCCUUCUGGACCACGUCGGGUGGAAACGAAACCGUAUCCGGGUCAUUACCGUAGAUCCAUAAUUUUCUAAGAGAGGUGAGUCUGUGCAAUCCCCACUCUAACUCCCAUAAUGACUUACAGCUUUUGACCUUCCAAAUUGUAAGUGAUGUGAGGUUGGAGGGAAAGAAGCAACUCAAACCUUCACGGUAGUUGAUGGUCAAUUCCUCAAGAGAGUUGAGAUUGUGCAUGGCUUCGGGUAACACCUCCAAUUUGUCGCAAUCGGUUAUCUUGAUCUCUCUCAGGUUGAAGGCUCUUCUCCCCCCACUCAGUCCGGGGAUAGAAACAAGACUUCCCCAGUAAUAAAUAUCCAACGUUUGAAGAUUGAUGAGGUGGCAUAAGCCAUCCGGUAAGUAUUUCAGAUUUUGGCACUUCCAGAUCCUUAUAUAUUCAAGACACUGAUUAGUGUUGUAGUGGGAGAACCCGUCCUGUACAAUUAACUCCAGCUGUAAACAAUCGUAUAUCUCAAGGUGUUUAAGUGUCCUAAGAAGCUGGCCGCUCAAUGAUAACAACGUCAGAGAUUGACAUUCCUGGAUUUUCAAGUAUUCAAGACAAAUGUGAGAAGACAACAGAGAAGAACCAACAACCUCCUCAUCUACUAGUGAUUUCAAACUUUUACAGUCACUUAUCUGUAUUCUUCCGAGAUUUUGGGGAAUCUGAAAUUUUGCCAAAUAUAUCAUCGAAUGGCACUCUGUAAUCUUGAUGUCUUUAAGAGAAGGUGGCAGACCAACAUCCUCAAAAGAAACUAGACGUAGACAUUUGUGUAUGCAAAGCUGUUGAAGAGACAACAACUGAUUUAACCCUUUUGGUAGCUUUAAAAUAUUUUUGCACUUCUUUGGCUCCAGUCCUUCAAGCUUGCACUCCAAUAUUUGCAAUUGCAGCAACUCAUCUGCUUCUUUUCCCAAUUCUUCAACUAGAGGAGAGUUGUCUUCAAUUUCCAAACGGCCAAGAGAAGUCAACUGCUGCAAUAAUCUACCGUCAUUCUACAAUGAAGACAUCUGCUCCUCACAUCCAUUAAUCUUCAAAUCUCUAAACUUGCUUAAUCCCUUCUGGAACAAUUCCCCUGUUUGCAGACACAUCAGCUCUGAAAUGUUUGAAAGGCACAAGGACUCUAACAACUCAAACUCAACCUUAGCAGCUGUAUGCACCAACACUUUACAACAGUCAAUGUUUAACUGACGAAGUUGUUUGUAGUUGGCAAUUGAAACCACUAAUUCUUCACAUUUAACAAUUCCAAGCUUUGCUAAAGAAUUGAGGUUCUCUGGCAACUUACCCCCCAGUUUUGAACAUUUUUUUACAAAGAGCGUUUUCAGGCAAGGGAAAACACCAUUUCCAUGAUCCAAUUGGAAAGGAAGCCAUUCCUUCCAAUGCUGCAUAUCCACAAACUCAAGAGUCUCUAAUAGCGGAAAAGGCGAGAUGCACUCUCCAUAAAACUCAGCACCAACACUUUCCACUGCAUUCAUUCCUCUAAUAUAAAGUUCUUUGAGAUGAGGCAAUUGUCCAAGAGGUGGCAACGAUAAACAAUUGUUACACUCCUCUAACCGCACAAGCACCACAUUAGAGAACAAAAAAACUGCAACCCAUGAUGAAAAUUCCUUUCCGGCAUAACUCUUGAUGGUGAGCUCCUUGAGCUUUGUAUGAGGCUGUAACAUGUCAAGCACAGCAGAUUCCAUUUCUCUUGUGUCGCUUGAAUGAGACCAUUCUAGGACCAACGAAUCAAGCCUCUCCUUGUAUUUUAAGUUGGCCCUCCGAGCAUCCUCGACAUCAAUCACAUUCCCCUAUCUUGAUAUGCACAAUGUCCCGCGGAGAUGCAAUAGGAACUCUUUCUCUCUUAUCCUUGAUUGAUCACUACCACCACUGACCACAAAAUUAGACAAUGAUUGGAGAUUCACCAAUCUACCCAGUUGUGGAGGCAUUCCUCCCAACGAAUAUGCAUCCGAGUUGUUUAGAUGGCGCAAAUUAAUUAGAUUACUCAUGUUCGCAGGCAAUGACUUCAAUUUAGAACAACCUUCCAAUAUCAAUGUUUGCAAGCUGUAAAGAGUGCUUGUUGAUUCAGGCAAACUGGUUAUAUC